ACCUUCUACUCCUACUACCUCAUGUCCAAGGUGCUCGACCACUGCGAGAAGGCUGGCCGCCGCCACAUCCGAUUCCGUGAACUCGCCGCCGAUGUCUUAGGUAACUCUGAGCAAAAACUCUAACACGACGUCGUUUGGUAAAAUGGUUGGUAAUUCGGUAAAUGUUGGUUGCCCAAAAAAAAACUAAUCAACUAACCACCACAUGUUUUUGCUUUCCUCUUACUUCUUGAAUUUUUUGAAUUUCUUUUGAAUUUUGCAUGUUUUUGUUUUAUUUUUCUUUUGUUGCGCGAAUUUUUUUUAAAUGAAAUCGAAACGGUCGUGUUUGCGUCCUUUUGGGGCGGCGGCAGACUCGUUUACACGUUUUGCUCCGGUUGUUUCUCUGGUGCUCUUCUCUUUGAGCUUUGACUUCUCCAUCCGACGACGUUGAAGUACACGUGGCUCUUGCCCACAAAACGUGUGGGGUGUGUGAAUGUAGUGGGAUUGUGACACGUGUAUUCAAUUGCAAAUUGAGUCAAUUCGGGUCGGGUCGGGUUUGACCUGGUCGUCCAGAACCCGGCCUAGGCUCUUACGCCGGUAGGGAAGUUUGAAAACUUGAAACCACUACCAAUCUUUGAUCUUUUAUUUUUUUGUUGCAGCUGGGAAUUUAUUCUGUUUGUUAAACGUUAGUCUGAAAUUGGUGCAGAAAUUGGAUUUGAUUAAUACAAAAAAGGCUACAUUGUUUAUUAGUGGUGCUCUGUGUCUGUCCUGCUUGAAUUAGAAAUGUGGAAUCUUUAAUUGUAUUAACUGCAAGUGUGUGGGGCGUUUUGGUUUUGUUUACAGGGUCAGGAUGGAUGUUUUAUUUUGUGAUAUUCAUUCAAACGGCCAUAAACACUGGGGUUGGAAUUGGAGCAAUUUUGCUGGCUGGAGAAUGCCUUAAGGUAUGGUAUCAUUAUUAUCUCAUCAGCACAUGAGCUUCCAAAAGUAUCAAUAGGAAAUUGGUUUAUUGUGAACUGAUUCCUAUUUUAGUAACCUUGCAUUAUCUUGAUUGUCUUUUUUUUUUUUUUUGGCAAGAUUAUGUAUUCAGAACUUUCUCCCAAUGGAUCUCUGAAAUUGUACCACUUCAUAGCCAUGGUUACAGUGGUAAUGAUAGUCAUCUCUCAGCUUCCAACUUUCCACUCCCUCAGGCACAUCAACUUUGGUUCGCUGCUUCUCAGCUUGGGCUACUCAUUCCUGGUUGUUGGUGCUUGUAUUUAUGCAGGUACUGAAUCCUUCAACAUCCCUUCAGCAUCAUCAUUUAUAUAUAUGCCACUCGUGCAUAGAAUUGCAUGUAUAUCUUGCUUGCAACUUUCCGCUCUUGUAUCUUACUCUUGUAUCGUACUCAUGCAUCAUCAAAACAGAAAGAAAAUAACUUGAUUCUUCUGGACGAGUUAGAGCAACAAAUUGUUCCCUGGUGCCAAAACUAGCAUUGUGUCAUUGACAACUCUUACCCCUCCGAAUUAGGAAUCGGAAUUGAAUUUGUAUGACAUGCAUCAUGCAUGUUAGCGUGGGCUUCUAUUGUUAAUAAAUACUCAAGGGAAUGCCCUUUGUAAUCCUCGAGAAGGGGUUCGACGAUUAUCAAGUUUCUAAGUAAAGCAGUUAGACUUGGAGCUUUCAAUUGUCAACAGUAAUGACAGUAUAUUUUUCACUAAAGGGACCAGAUAACCAGUUGAGUUAUUGGAUCAUGAAAUUUAUUUAUCUAUUUUAAGAAAGCAAGUCCUAAUCCUGUGGUAAACAUUUCUUUUUUUCCUAUAGGUACGUCUAAGAAUGCCCCUGCGAGGGACUAUUCCUUAGAAUCUUCGAAUUCAGCAAAGCUGUUUAAUGCCUUCACUUCCAUCUCCAUAAUUGCUGCUAUCUUCGGGAACGGAAUUCUUCCUGAAAUACAAGUAACUACAGCCUCUUUGGAACUUUCUAUUAGUUGCAAAAUUCCAAGCUUUCCCAUGCUAGUUGGCACAUCCAUUACAUGAUCUGGUUGAUUUAACUAGAAUGCUUGGGAACAUGUGUCUUAGUGUGAAAAUCAUAAACAUCUAAAAAUUAGGUCAAGCAAUCACUUGUUUGACAUAUUCUUUUUUAUUUAAUUCUAUCAUGUGCCCAUGGAUCAAUGCAGGCAACUUUGGCGCCACCAGCUACUGGAAAGAUGGUAAAAGGUCUUGUCAUGUGUUACACAGUAAUUUUCAUUACUUUCUACUCAACUGCAGUGUCCGGGUACUGGGUGUUUGGGAACAAAGCUAGUUCAAACAUUAUACAGAGCCUAAUGCCAGAUGAGGGACCUUCUCUGGCUCCAACUUGGGUUCUUGCAGUUACUGUGAUCUUCGUACUCCUUCAGCUUUUAGCCAUUGGCCUGGUAAGCUUACUCAUGCACUUUUCAUACCAAGUUGAAAAUUACAGUCUAUAACAGGAGGGGAAAAUUACUACAAUGGUGGAGGGAAAACAUUUCUGUACAGUUGUCUGAUUUUUCAAGCCUAUUUAAAAUUGCAUUUGAGGUGAUCUUUCUCCAAUAUGACGCAGGUUUAUUCUCAAGUUGCUUAUGAGAUCAUGGAAAAGAAAUCAGCUGAUGUCAAUCAAGGAAUGUUUUCAAAAAGGAAUCUCAUUCCUCGAAUAAUUCUCCGUUCCCUGUACAUGAUGCUCUGCGGUUUUUUUGCAGCAAUGCUUCCAUUUUUCGGAGACAUAAGCGGUGUGGUUGGAGCUGUCGGCUUCAUCCCUUUAGAUUUCAUCCUGCCAAUGCUUCUCUACAACAAGACCUAUAAGCCUCCAAAAUCAACCUUCAUUUAUUGGAUCAACAUAUCUAUAAUGAUCGUGUUCACAGGCGCCGGACUUUUGGGCACAUUUUCGUCUGUAAGGAAACUGGUUCUUGAUGCCAGCAAAUUUAAGCUUUUUAGUGAUGAUGUGGUUGAUUAAAAGCUUGUACAUAAAACCACACAGCAGCCUUUGCUUGUGAAAUGUACAAUCUAAUUAACCCCCUUUGCCAGGGAGAAACUGUACCGUUUAGUGCCCUUGUAAUUUCCUAAUUAAGCUGAUUUGCAAUUUUCUCAAAUAUAAGCUUAAACUAAACAAAUUAUGAGUAUAUAUUCAAAUCUGAGAGAUUAUGUUUGAUCAAAUAGUAGUUGCUGACAAAUCUCAGUUUGGUGUGAUGUAUUGUGCAAGCAAACCUGUCUAGUUUCUAGAACUUGGACCAAGUUUUAUUUUAUUUAUUUUAAUCAUGUAGGAUAUGAAUAUCUCAAUUUAAUAUUAAUUAAAAGCGUGGUUUUUCAUAAUUGAUCCUUUCACAUUGAGUCAUUGACGUGAGAUUUUUGGAAGAGGGUUUAAUUAUGUGACUUUGUGCCUUGCUGUACUAAUGUGUCCCUUAAUUUAGGUGGACUCUCAAAGGCACAUUCCCAUUGAUUAAUUUAAGCCUUAUUGACCCAACUACAUAGAAAAUAUUUAUACCAAAAUGAAAAUUGGGAUACAAUUGCACGCCGUAGUCACGUGAUCUGUACAUUUCCUUUAUAUUAGAGGAAAUCAAACCCUAUACCUAAACAAUUUUGAUAAAUAAGCACUUGAAGGAUAUGAUGACACCCUUUCAUGUUAUGUACCAUAUUAAAUAAUUGAACAAAUUCGAUCUGAAAUCUUAGACAAAAAGUCUAAGCAACAUGCCCAUCAACAAUUAAUAUAAAACAAAGACGCAUAGAAAGGGAAUAAAUAUAUAUAUUUACAAUAACAUAUUAUUAUACCUGCUUCUGCUGAUUUGUAUGAAACCAAAAUAAUGGAAAAGUAGUCACUCGCUUCCAUUACCUGCAAUUCCUAAUAAUUAUUUUAAAACUAAAAAUUAUUUUUAUCCGGAUUCGUCGAACUUAAUAUUCAAAGAGUAAAACUAUGGGAUCAAUGGUUUUUUUUUUUUUUUCCGUCACAACUAGAUGUUUAAACGAUUUUUAAUUUAUUUAUAUUUUAAAAUUUUGAGAUCGAGAAAACUGGAUUAUGACCAUAUAUCUCCUGAAAAGAGAAAGACUGGUCGUUGUUUAGUUAUCUCUCCUUUUUGUUUUGUAUUGUUUUCUGUUUCUUGUUUGGUGAUAAUAAGAUAAGACAGGAAAAGUCAAAGGUUACUCUGUCUCUCUCUCUCUCUCUCUCUCUCUUUUUCAACGAGCCGAGGGCUUAAUAAAUGGAAAGCUUUGGAAAGCUUGGACACGGCAAAGGCCUGAAAGUAAAGUUAUGGUCCAAAUAUGUAGGCCGUGAACACUCUGCAAUUUGCAAAGCAGGGUAGCUGCCACCUCCACCUCCACCUCCCUCUUUUUAGUUUUAUGUCAUCAUAACUCAUAACUAACGCGUUUCAAUAUUCACCAACCAUUUUUCAAACCCAAACUUCUACAUAUACACAUCUACAAAACUUCUCGAGCUUCCAAGCAACACCACCUCUCUCUCUCUCUCUCUCUCUCUCUCUCUCUCUCUCUCAUAUUAAGAAAGUAAUGGAGGUCGGUGCUUAUACCUCAAGCGGCAAAGAGCACUUAUCCUCAAAUCCGCGCAGACGCUCACAGCAAGAGUUCGACUCUCAUCCUGCCAUUCCAAUGAACCAAAAGAAAUCACAAGAACACAAGGCACAUCAAUAUAAAGUGAUGAAAGUCGGAGAAGCUUAUAACGCAAGUGGCAAAUAUCACCUGUUACCCUCAAACCCUCGUCGUCGUUCACUGCAAGAGUUCGACUCCCGUCCAACCCCGAAUCAAAAGAAAGAUCAACAACACGAUGAAAAUCAAUCUAAAGCCUUGGUUCUCAACAAGUCCAGGCCGGUGUGGGAUUGUGGCAGCUCACUCUACGACUCGGUAGAGCUCGACUCGUUCAAGCGCCAAAUCGACUCGGCCAUAUCAUGCAGAACCAUGUCAAUGCCUCAUCUGUCUGAUCGCCGAGUUCUUCCCCCUGCUCCUCCUCCUUCACGGCCAGCCAUAACAGCCUCCAACAAAAAACCCUCGUCAAACAAGCUCUCUCGCUCGAUUCAGAAGCUUCUGAGGUCCGUGUUCAAGCCAAAUAAAUCAAGCAACAGCAACAACAAGAACAACAAUUCUGGUGUCGUUUUUAGAGUACCAGAUCAUCCGCAGGCCAACAUCAAGGACGGGUUUUUUGUUGUGUACGACAAGACAGGUGCACUUACGACAAUUCCUGAGGUGGCUCCUCAUGAGUUUAAUUUCGGUGGUCUCUCCCCGGAGAUUGGGGCGUUGGUCGGGAAGACAACCUCGGAGCGAUUUACAGCUACUAGUACUUCUAAUAUUGGUAUUUCAUGUGCUUAAUUAAUGAAUAUAUAGUUUAAUUAUUAUAUAAUUAGCUAUAAAAUAAUACUAAUUUUUGCAUAUAUAUUAUAAAUAUUUAAUAUGGCCUUUACAAUUAAUGUGUUAUGAUCGAUGCUAUUAAUUAAUUAUUUAUAUUAUCAUGUUUCUUUGGGUUUAUAACUUUGACAAGUUCAUCCGUUUGUAUUAUUGACUGCUUUAUAUGGUCAAUGCGUAUAUGUGCCUUGGUCAAUUGCAUGGCUUCGAUCUAGGGUUAAAUAUAUUAUUUAACCCCCACAUUUUAGGCUGCUUGUUCUUUGUCCAAUACUCUUACGAUUGUCGCCUCAAAUCCAUCACACAAAUUUUCUUUCUGAUAGAUUUUUAUUUUUUUUGUGAGAAUUUUAUUUGUAUUGUUAUGGUUUGGUUUUUUUAAACUUUAUCUUUUUUUUGAUUAUUUUGAAUUUGUAAUUUUAGUUGAAAUGUUUAUGUCAAAGUUUUUUCGAUCUUGCGUGAUUGUUAAUAGAUGCGUAUCAGAUUGUCUUAAUUUUGAUGUUAAACCGCUCGGUUAUUGUAAUGGCCCUUUGUGGCUAAUUUGUAUUAGCUCUCUUUGGCUAUUGAUUUUUUAACUAAAUUAUUAAUGCAAUUUUAAAAUUUCUCAGGAAAAAAAAAACAAAAACAAAAGACAAUGUCUAGAUAUAGUUUAAUCAUCCGGUAAUUAAGCUACAAUAACAGUAGCUAGCAUCACUACCAUGACACAAGUACUAUGCAUGGGUUUAGUAGGGAAUAAAUAAAUAAAUAAAAUUGGCAAAUAAAAAUCAUAUAAUAUAUCCAUGAUAUUUUACAGAAUUGUACUUCAGUAAGAAAUAGUAACUAGACAAAACCUAUUUGCCAAAUAUCAUACUGGAAGAAAUUGACGAUAGAGAUGCAGUGGGUGAAAUGUAUCUAUCGAGUUUCGAGUGUAUCUUUAUCAUCAUUAGUGAUGAAAGCGGUUUGAAUACUUGUGCUUAUUCAAUUAAGGACCUAAUCAGAGGAUGAUGAUGGUAAUAAAAAUAUAAUAGUAACAAAUAUUAAUAAUUUAGUACUGGAAUUUAUUAUCGAGAAUGAAAUGGGGUAACAAUAGUGGGACAACGUGAUAUAACUCGUAUAAGCAAAUAUUUAUUAAUAUUGUACGCUUUUAAUCUUAACGCCAUAUCAUAAAAUCUUGUUCGAGUACCACACAAUAAUUUCUUAACACAUAUCAUAAAAUCUUGUUCGAGUACCACACAAUAAUUUCUUAACAGGUGAGUUUUAUAUGCCUUCAUGUGUCCAAAACCAGUUAUGCGUAUUGGUAAAAUGGCAGUUGGGACCAGGUUGUUUAUGUGGAAGGCCAUUCUUGACACAUCUUGGUCGGUAAGCCUCUUAAAUUUUAGACCAGUGAGCUGUCGGGAUCAGUGUCCUCCUCUUUAAAUACAUGACAAAGUGAGUAAAUGAGCAAUAAUUUGGGCCAAGUACAAUCUUCAAAAUUUCAAACCCAAACAAACAAAAAAUCAAUUAAUUCUCACUAUGAAGAAAAUCUUGUAUUUAAGAAGAAAUCAAUGAAGAAAAUCAUUUUAGUCCUUUCCCUUGGGAUCUAAUCUGGCCCAAAAUUGGUCGAUUUCUAGCAAGAUUGGGCUUUUCAUCAUGUCCAAAACUCGACCCAAAAAGAAAUAAACUGCUUUUGGAAGUUCUUUAUCUUUUGGUUCCUCCAACAUAACAUAACAGGCAGCAUUGGAGGAAAAGAACAGAGAAAAGCUUGUACGUCCUUUUGUAGGCUUUGGAGUCGUGUUCUUGAAAAGGACUUGAGGGUUAAUUUGUCAUAUCAAACUUGAUUGUAUUUGAAAUUAGAGAUGCAAAGUCGGCAGAUUAGGCCAUCCCCAAUAAUUGAGGCUCUAAAUAUGGUGGAUAGAGUCUCAUUUAACGCUCCGAUGGAAUAUUACAGGCUCUAAAUAUAUCUAUCUCACAAUGGGGGGCUCUAUAAGUAUUUUUUUUUAUGAUGUAAUUUAUUCUAUGCAUUAAUUUUUGUUGUUGUUAACUUAUUUUAUUUUAGUGUAUGUUUAUGUUAUAUUAGUUUUUUUUUACGAGCAUUUUUACUCAAAAAAAUCAAAAUUUGGAAAAGAUUAAAGAGACAAAAUUUGAAAGUAAACACAAUAAAAUGCUGAACAAUGAUACAGAUUUGCUUUUGGUUAAAGUUGAAGAUAUCAAAGCAAAAAGAGACACAAAAAGCCACGCAGUCUCUGUCAUUAGCCCAUGACCUUAUCAUCCCAUUCAAAGAUUCCAAACCCAUCAAAUAAUUCAACGACACAAACUCCUCCUUAUAAUGAUCUCCAUCUUUCUUCCAUAUUCGUUCAUUUCAACACCCAAAAACCCUAGAGUUUACUUACACUACAAUGGCUUUAGACACCCAUGGCCAGCAGCAGAAUCUGAUCAAGCCACCCCAUGUUGCCAUUGUCCCAACUCCAGGCAUAGGCCAUCUCACUCCCCUCGUUGAGCUAGCCAAAUUACUCCUCUUCCAUCAUAACUUCACCUUCACGUUCAUCAUCCCAAACGACGGGUUGCACUUGGCACCCCAAAAGAAACUCCUUGAAGCCCUCGACCCUCAGGCCAUAUCCUACAUCUUCCUCCCUCCUGUGAGCUUCGAUGACCUCCCUGACGACGUUAUGGUCGAAACAAAAAUCGCCCUCACCUUGACUCGGUCCCUCUCUGCUCUGCGCAUCUCACUUAUAGAACUAACCGAGUCAACUCGGCUGGUGGCACUUGUCGUUGAUCUUUUUGGUGCCGAUACCUUUGAUGUGGCCAAUGAACUCCACGUGCCCCCUUACAUAUUUUUCCCCUCUUCAGCUUUGGUUUUGUCGCUUGUACUUCAUUUCCCACACCUUCACGAGACCACUACUUGUGAGUAUAGGGACUUGCCUGAACCAAUCCAACUUCCGGGUUGUGUUCCCCUUCACGGUCGAGAUUUUAUGGACCCAGUUCAAGACCGGUCCAAUGAGGCCUAUAAAGUUAUGGUUCGGAUGUGCAAGAAGUAUAGGUCGGCUGCUGGGAUUAUGGUCAAUAGCUUUGUAGACUUGGAACCGGGUGCUUUCAAGGCUUUCAAGGAACAAGGACAAGGUCUUCCACCGGUUUAUCCGGUUGGACCAGUAAUAAAGAUCAGUUCAGCAGAUGGGUUUGAAGGGAAUGAGUGUUUGAGGUGGCUUGAUAAGCAACCCAAUGAGUCAGUGUUGUUUGUUUCAUUUGGGAGUGGGGGGACUUUCUCACAAGAGCAAAUGACUGAAUUAGCCUUGGGACUUGAAUUGAGUGGGCAGAGGUUUAUCUGGGUUGUUAAGAGCCCAAAUGAGACAGCUAAAAAUGCAAAUUAUUUUAAUGUCCAAGGCAGUGAGGACCCUUCUGGUUUUUUACCACAUGGGUUUUUGGAGAGGACGAAAGAGGUAGGCCUAGUGGUCCCAUCUUGGGCCCCACAAGUCCAAGUGCUGAGUCACCAAUCAACGGGUGGGUUUUUGACUCAUUGUGGAUGGAACUCAACAUUGGAGAGCAUUGUGCAUGGUGUGCCUUUGAUUGCUUGGCCACUCUAUGCAGAGCAAAGGAUGAAUAGGGCGCUCCUUGUUGAUGGUUUGAAGGUUGCUUUGGGUGUUAAAUUGAAUGAUAAGGGGAUAGUGGAGAGCCAAGAUAUUGCUAAGUAUGUUAGGGGCCUAAUUGAAGGUGAUGAAGGGAAAUUGCUAAGGAACAAGAUGAAAGGGUGUAAAGAGGCAGCCAAAUUGGCUUUAAGUCAAGAAGGGUCUUCUACCAAGUCACUUGCUGAGGUGGCUCAGAUAUGGAAGGGCCUCAAGAUCUAAUCUAACCUAAUGUGUCAAUUAAUAAUGGUUUCAUUACAGAUUGAAUGAACAUAUGUGGUUUCCUUGGCCUUUAUCUGAAUUGAAAAUAAUUUGUUAUCUUUUCCCACUUCAUUCUGUCAUCAAAACAUCACUUUCCAUUACAUGCAUCGCUUUUAGAUAUGUACGUUUGAUAUGUAAUUAACAAAUAACUUGUAGCUCAUCAUGGUAUUUAUAUUUGAGUUCUGACAUAACAUUCCAGGCAAAAGGCCCUAUAGGCUUUAAAAUUCAUUUCCAGUGUCCAAUUAUUUCACUCCAGGUUGAACUCAUCUCUUCCCAAGACAAAAUGAACUUGAACUCCUGUCGACGGGCUGUGACGUUAACUUCAGAGAUGGAAUAUGUGACUUAGAUUAGGAUAUCUAUUUUAAUACGUGGCUUAGAUUAGGAUUAUCUAUUUUAAUGUACGACUUUGACAUGAAGAGAUAGGCAAGCUACCGAACAAAACCACUUACGUUAACUUCAUUCGUAGACUCAUCUCUUGAAAAAAGUAGAUGAUCAAUUAGUAGAGUAAUUUUUGUCUGUUCAUAUAUUCAUUCCUCGACUCACCACGUGGUUUAGUUGUUUAUGUUUUUUUCUUAUAUUCUUUUGUUUUAUAUAAAUCUUUAUUGUUAUCUUCGGAGGUGCAGUUGGUCAAACAUAAUUUUCAAAAGCGAAACUUAAAAGACAAAAAAGAAAAAAAGAAAAAAAGGGGAAGAAGACAGUUUUGUCAAUCGUAGGGAAUUUGUACUUCCUAGCUAUAAUAAUCCGAUACAUUUAACUUAGUUGAUUUUGGUCUUUCGGAGGAAAUACUAUAAUGAGCUUGGUGUGAAGCUUGGUUACUCUUCUAAGAAUUUAAAAUGAUAAAAAUAUUGGUUGAAAAUGUAGGGUAUAUUGGAUUCGCUUUCUAGAGUGUUAAAAAGAUUAUUGUAUAAUACAAACACGAGUUAGGUCAGUUGGCAGCUCGACCCAUUGCACCAAAGUGCAAGUACUCAAUAGCGAUCCUACAUCAAGGGUAGGGUAGGCAGCUGCCUACCCCAAAUUUUUUCACAAAAAACACACCUGCCUACCCCAAAUUUUUUCACAAAAAAAAACCUAUAACAAAAAACACACCCACUUUCUCCUUUUUUUUGUUUGGUACGAAAAUUGCUUUCUUUAUAUUGGGAUAUUUCUCCCUCAAAUGAAGCAGCCAUUGCCAUGUUGGUUUCUUUCUUCUUCAAAAUUUUUUUUUCCUGGUUUUAAAGUUGUGUAUAAACUCAACUAAUUUCUCCCACCAAAACUUGUGAAUAAACUCACCUAAUUAUUUGUACCAAAUUGUCACAUGAUAUUCCCACGAAUCUAUCAACAAUUGCCACGAAUCUUAUCACAUCAUCGAUGAGAUAGUAAUUUUUGUACGUUGAUAUGUUCAUCAUGUGCAUUAACUAUUCAUUCGUAGACUUACCACGCGGUUUAGUUGUUCAUGUUUUUUUCUUAUAUUUUUUGUUUUAUAUAUGUUAUCUUGGGAUGGGAUGGGAGGUACACUUGGCAGAGGAUGUGGGGGGACUUUCUCACAAGAGCAAAUGACUAAAUUAGCCUUGGGACUAUCAAAUCAAACAAUUGUCUUGGUCUCUGUCAUGAAAAUACCUUUAACACCCCUAUCCGACGGUCUCCAAAAUCCUCACUCCUGAUCAACACCCCCAUCCGACGGUCAACAAAAAUCUUCCUUAAAUACUUCGGCAACCCCACAAACCCCACACAAAUUAAACCAACCAUGGAAUUAGACACCCAGCAAAAACUCAACCCACCCCAUGUGGCCAUCGUCCCCACUCCAGGACUGGGCCAUCUCAUUCCCCUCGUCGAGCUGGCCAAACGAUUCGUCGUCCAACACAACUUCACUGUCACCUUCAUCAUUCCGAACGACGGGUCGUCCAUGACCCCGCAAAAGCAAGUCCUCAAAGCCCUUAACCCUCAGUCCAUAUCCUCCACCUUUCUCCCUCCCGUAAACUUCGAUGACCUCCCGGAGGACGCUCAGAUUGAAGCACGAAUCGUCCUCACCAUGACUCGGUCCCUCUCCGCUCUACGCGACUCUGUCAAGGUCCUAGCUGAGUCAACUCGCCUAGUGGCACUUGUAGUCGACGUUUUUGGAGCGGACGCAUUUGAUGUGGCUAAUGAAUGCCAUGUGGCGCCCUACAUGUUUUGGUCAACGAACGCUAUGGCUUUGUCUUUUGGCUUUUAUUUGCCGUGGCUUGAUGAGACCACUUCUUGUGCGUAUAGGGACAUGCCUAAACCGGUUCGUUUUCCAGGUUGCGUACCACUCCACGGUAGGGAUUUUUUGGACCCGGUUCAUGAUAGGAGCAAUCAAGGCUACAAAUCCACACUUCAGAUAUGCAAGAAGUUCAAGUUGGCCUCAGGGAUUAUGGUAAACAGCUUUACAGAUUUGGAACCUGAAAUUUUUAAGGCUUUGAAGGAAGCCCGAACAUCACAAGGGUUUCCACCGGUUUUCCCCAUUGGACCGGUAAUUAAACUCGAUUCAGCCGGUGUAUCAGAUGGGGAUCACAAGUGUUUGGGAUGGCUAGACAGGCAGCCACGUGGGUCAGUGUUAUUUGUAGCAUUCGGGAGCGGUGGGACCCACUCACUUGAGCAGAUGAAGGAGCUGGCUCUAGGGCUUGAAAUGAGUGGGCAAAGGUUUCUUUGGGUUGUGAGGAGCCCAAAUGAGACAGCUAAAAAUGGUACUUAUUUUAGUUCUUCUUCCACUGCCCAACAGAAGGACCCAUUGGGUUUUUUGCCUGAUGGGUUUUUGGAGAGGACCAAAGAGGUGGGCCUAGUGGUCCCAUCUUGGGCCCCACAAGUCCAUGUGCUGAGUCACGAGUCAACGGGUGGGUUUUUGACCCAUUGUGGGUGGAACUCGACAUUGGAGAGCAUAGUGAACGGCGUGCCGAUGAUUGCUUGGCCGCUCUAUGCAGAGCAAUAUAUUAACGCAGUUUUGUUGGCUGAUGAUAUAAAGAUUGCAUGGAGGGUCGAGAUGAAUGACAAGGGCAUAGUGGAGGGCCAAGAUAUUGCCAGGUACGCAAGGGGAUUAAUUGAAGGGGAUGAAGGGAGAUUGCUGAGGAACAAGAUGAAAGAGCUGAAAGAGGCAGCCAAAGUGGCCUUGAGCCAAGGAGGGUCGUCCACAGAAUCACUGGCUGAGGUGGCUGAGAUAUGGAAGGGCCACAAUUGAGAUUGGGUUUUGGUUUCUUUCAAUUUUUCUCGUAUGUGUUCCAAUGGAGAUUGAUGGGGAAGUUGCUCCAAAACAAGAUGAAAGAGAUCGAAGUUAAAGAUGAAAUGGCUUUGAGUGAAGAAGGGUCCUCUGCUCUGCUACAUCACUUGUCCGUAUCACUCAAAUAUGGAAGAAUUAGAAACCUAAAGUGAUUGAUAUAAUGCGUCCAUGCUUCACUUUACAAAUUACAAAUUUAAUACACGACACUUGUGCGGUUUUCUUGCCUUUAGUAAUGUUUGUCUUGUUUAAUAAGGGUUAAUAGUAACAUGUUCAUGUGUCUUGUUUAAAAAAAAAAAAAUGAUUCAUCUAUUAGUAGUCUUAUAAAAUAUUUGAUAUCAUUGUUGUUUCAAAUAUUCAAAUACACGGGCCUUGUAAAAUUAUGUGAUCCAUCCAUUUGUAGUCCUAUAUGAUAUUUGAUGAUUGUUGUUUUAAUGAUUACUAUACGUUAAAGUCCGUUAUAUAAUUCAUUACUAGCACAUAAUACGAUAACACCUAACCUAAAUCCUAAAUCCACACUCUAAACCUCGUUACCAGGUCCUUUUUUUUUUUAAUUGAAAAAUUCUAUAAUUGCUUUCAUAAUUCAGCUAAAAAAGUCACUAGCCACAAAAGGUCAAUACAAACUAGACACAAAAAGGCCAUUACAAUAACGGAGCAGUCAAAUAUCAAAAUUAAGAAAAUUUGGUAUGUCUCCACUAACGAUAGGCAGGAUCGAAGAAACUCUGGUAUAGGCAUCCCAACUAAGAUUGCAAACUUAGAAUAAUAAAAAAGAAAUAAAGCUUGAAAAAAUCAAGCCAUAACUAUACAAAUAAAACUCUCACCAAGGAGAGAUGAAAAACUCUCACAAAAGGAGAGGUGAAAACUACACAGAGAACCCAAAGAGUCUCUGCAACUUAUUCCAAACAUAAAGACAUUGCAAAAAAGAUGGUGGUGGAGAUUCGACGCCGAAAUGCAGGUAAAGAUCUGACGCUGAGCCGCAGCCACAUGUAAUGGUUAUAUGAAAAUCAUAACAAAACUAAGACAAAUAGGGAAAACCCUUUGUCUCUGAAAAUAGGGGGAAGAGGUGAAGAGGAAGAGAGGAACAGAAGAGGGGUGAGGGGGGAAGAACAAUGGCUUACUCCCCCCUCAAAGUGGAAAUGGCUCUAAGAGUGUUUUUUGGGACAAAUGGGGCUAGGGUUUUAUCUAAUACCAACUUACAAAAGGUUAUAUGUGUAACAAGAAACCCACUCUUUCGUUACCAGGCCCUUAGUUUCAAGAAGAUAUUAUACUUAACAUGACUUGUUAAUUAAAUUCUAAGAAAACUCUUACAUGUAUGAGAUUUUCUCUUUAAACCCCGCAUUUCUCUUUGUUCACCCUAAUAUUUAAAUCAUUAAGCUAUAAGUUUUAUUAUUGUGUAAAAAGACAAAAAAGUUCAACCAACUUAAUACUUAACCCCAGUACAUCUAUACACACACGCCACCACUCUUCAUAUUAAGUUUUAGAAAAAUACGAACUCUUAUUGCCAAAUUACUCUUCUCUUUAAAGAUAUAAAACAUUGAGGAGCCUAUCUCUUUAAAAUAUGUGUGAAGCUUACGGAAAUGCUUGUUAAUUGCUUGGCUGCAAUGAUCUUAGUCUCUUCCCUUUGUUGAUUGCUUGGCUGUUGAUUGCUUAGUUGUUCUAAUUUUUUAUUUACUUGACAUAUUAUGUGCUCAAAAGUAAACAAUAAAUGAUUACUGUACCUUCGUGUAAGUGAAAUUUGUUCUUGCUGAGGUAAGUUGCACCUUCUUGUCUACAAUGCAACUAAAUAUCUCCUCAUUUAAUUUCUAAUUUAGAAAUCUUUAUUUGGUAUAGGAUCUCUUUCCAUUGACAGUAAACAAUAUAUUGUAAUAGUUAGCGAGUUUGUCUGUCUUGCAGCAAGCACAUGGACCUUCAUCUUCUUCUCAAAAAAUAGGGGUCUUCUUCAUCUUUUCCCCCACUAUUCAGUUUAGAUAUAUGUUUUUUCUAUAGUUUGUAGUAGAAAGAUAGUGAGGUGUAAAUAGAAAAACUCUUUUAUUUUAUUUUAUUUUUCCAAUUUGGGGGGUGUAUUUAAGGGUAGUUUGAAAAGAUAGUGGAGUUUUUUUAAAAAUUAUGAAAAUUUAAAUUAGAAAUUAGGGUGAACUCAGAAUAUGAAAUGAACAAAAAAAAAUAUGGAGUUUAAAUAGAAAAUCUUUACAUGUAUUAAGUUGUCAUGACAGUUUGGACCCCAAAAAAAAAAAAAGACAAAGGUUCGUCAUAUAGAAAUGGUGCCAUUUCAUCUAGAAUUUUUAGAGGCUUUUGAAAGACAUAUUUCUGGGUGGACCCGUUCUGAGUCUAAACCGACCCGACUAAAACCCUGCCCCAACGUUUACCAAAACCCUACACGAAGAGGUUUUCGCUCCUCCCACCUCUGACCAUCUUGGGCUCGAAUUGGAGCUCCAGGGACUGUACGGACAUGGAGAAACCUCUGGUGGCACUUGAUAAAGGCACCACCUGCUCGUCGUGGAACUACUCCAGCCAGAGAUUGGCCACUGGCUCAGUCGACGGAACGCUCGCCAUCUUCGACACGCGCGACCCAGCUUCUUCCUCUUUCUCCUGCACUUCAAAAUCGAAGGUCCCUAACUCCCGCCUGUUCCAAUUAUUUUCAAAUAUCAGGAAUUGACACAUUUCAUUUUUUUUUUUUUCCGUUUAAUUUUUCAAUUCCACUUGAAAGCUUGUGUUUUUGUGUUUAAAAAUAUUGCAAUUUUGUUUGUUUUAGGUGCAUGAGGCUGCUGGCAUUGUGAAAAUUGUUUGGGUUCCUCCAGAGUAUGGUGAUGCAGUGGCAUGUGUUUGCGCAGAUGGAACUUUGUCUCUGUGGGAGGAGGCUGCUGAAGGUAUUUUCCUUGAAUUUGUUAUCUUUUCUAACCCAGCUUCCACAAUUAUCAACUUCGAACUGAAUCAGUCUAAUUUAGCUUAUGGGAUACUGACGAAAAGUUUUUUUUAUUUUUUUAUUUUUUUACUGAGCAUUGUAUCUGAUGAAAAAUUAGGUUUUAUUGUUGUCUAGAUGCGCAACCUAUUCAAUGGAAGCUCUGCACAAGCUUUAAAAGUGGGUCCGCUCAACUGCUAGAUACCCAAUUUGGAGUCUCACCGUCAGGUUUAAAAAUGGUUAGCUUUUAUAGCUACUGUUCUGAAAUCAAGUUUGGAAAUGACAAAUGUUUAUUGUCGUACUAAUUUUUUCAUUCAUUUCUUCUAAUAUCAUUUAGGGUGCCAUGAAUAUUCAGUUGGUGCCCUUGUAGAAAAUCUGUGCAACAUACUAUGAUCAUCAUUUGCCCUGUGAGAAUGAAAUGUCAUGAACUGUAAUUUGUUUCAUUUUAUAGGUUACUGCAUAUUCUGAUGGCCAUGUCAAGGUUUAUGAGCUACUAGACCCCUUGGAUCUGAAGAAUUGGCAACUUCAGGUGAUCAUUUAUCUGAUUCAGUAUAAUAACAUACUACAGCCUGGAAAUAAGUCCUGUUGUUGUGUUAUAGUAUUAUUAUGCAGCCCAAAUUAAUGCUGAAAUUUGCAAAUUAUGUUAGUUCUGUACAAAAUUGAAACAUUAUAGGUAAAUUCUAGUUUUAUAUCUUAUAAGAUUAUUGGUGUUUUCCCCUUCAUAUAAAAUGAUACAUUGUUCUCGUGCAUAUAAAAAAGACAACAGAGGUAUAUAUAUUUGAAUGUCUAUUUCCCUAUUUUUUCAUCUAGUUGUAUGUUUUAGUGCCACGACUUAGAAUGAAUGGACCAUGAGCUUGUGUUCUGUUGCUUGUUCUCUCUUAUUUGUGGGUCUUUUUCUCUUGUACGCUCUCUUGUCAUGGUUGUACCCUUUUACUUUUUAUGACAUCUCUCCAGUUGAACCAUGAUAAAUCAUCUCCUGUGCUAUUAACUCCCUAUAUUAUGCAGAUACCAACUCCAAAGCCAACCUGCAUAAAGCAGAAAGAUUCAUUACAGAUUUUUACAGUUUGAAACUGCUCUGUAACCUUAUCUUUUCAUGAUCUUUUUGCCCAGGCUGAAUUUCAGAAUGUUAUUGAUUCAGUGUCUACGUUUGGGAAAGCCAUGUGCUUAGCUGCAUCUAUAUCUUGGAAUCCACAAAGAGGAGAGAGCCAGGAAUCCAGCUUUGUUUUGGGUUUCAAUUCAAACACACCACAACUUAAUUCUUCCAAGGUAUUCUAAAUUCUGUUUAAUCCUGUUUCCUAAUCAAUUAUCAUUAAUUUUAUGUGGCUUGUCUCCUUCAAUACACAACUUUCUCUUUUCUGCAGUAUAUUUUGAAACCAUGGUAUCAUUUCAGAUCUAGAACCUAGGUCAACUUGUCAAAAAUGAUAUUGUACAUAAUCUUAUGAUAUUACUUUACAGGUAUGGGAAUUUGAUCAGGCUCAUCAAAGAUGGCUCCCAGUUGCAGAGUUGGCUUUGCCUGGUGACAACAGUGAUCAGGUCUAUGCUGUUGCAUGGGCACCAAACAUUGGCAGGUAGGGAAUUGUCUAAUUGCUCAUGCAAGCACUGAUGAGCAAUUGGUGGGAAUCUGAAAAUAUUGUUUUCUGUCAUCAUAUAAAAUUCAAGGUUCUGCCUGUCUUAAAAUUUGAAGGAAAAAUGGCCUCAUUCCAUUUUAUAUUAGAGAGUAAAAUUGUAUAAAUUUCAUUCAGGCCCUAUGAGGUAAUUGCUGUUGCCACUGACAAGGGAAUAGCAAUAUGGCAUCUUGGAUUAAACCCUGACUCAGAUGGAAGGCUCUCAUUGGAGAAGAUUGCACAACUUUCAGGACACAACGGCGAGGUAUCCAUACUAACUAUUGAAAUUGUUAUCGAUCAUUUCAUUUUGGAGCACAAAAUCCUUACUGUUAAUCUGAUCAUGAAAAAGUGGAAUUAUAACCGUGUGUAUGUUGGAGUGAUACAAUUGUGGAGCCUUAGUAGCACAGUGUGAAUUAUCUAAUGAAAGCAAGGCUGUGAAUCUUCCUAAUUGAUUAAAGUCCUUCAUUUUAUGAUUAGGUCUGGCAGAUGGAAUGGGACAUGAGUGGGAUGACAUUGGCGACCACCGGGAAUGAUGGGGCAGUACGGUUGUGGCAGUCUAAUUUGAACGGCGUUUGGCAUGAAGAGGCUACAUUUGAACCCACUUCCUAGUCCCUUGCGACCUCUGUUGCUACAUGUUAAAAUGGCAAAUUCUCUGUUUUACGAGAAAACACAGUUUGUAAUCUCAUGGUAACAUGGUUGCCCUACUUAGUUUUAGAUCACUAGGUUUAAGCACUGUGCGGCAAACCCAAGAUCAGUAAGAAAGAAGAUUUGUGAUUGUAACUUUACACAUUGGUUCAAAUUUGAAAUUUUGUUGGUGAAUCUUUGUCAGCUUUGCGCUAUCACCAUUGUAUUAUGUAUGCAUGACAAAAAGUGACAUGUCAUUUUUAUAGAAGCGAAAAAGUGGAAAACAAAUGAAAAUAAAGAAGAAGGGAAUCACCAGUCAAUUGACUCAAUUAUGAAAAAUAGACUGAGAAAAUAAAAUUGAAUGAAGAUAAUCGACAGCUAUCUGGCCUUUCUUGUGUUUUGUUUUCUCGUUUUUAUUGGUCCCUGAAUUUGUUGAAAUUCUUCAUUCUCAAACCCUCAACUCAAUUAAUCAGUUAAUGUAAGUCUUUAAUCUUUUGAUCCACACAUCAAUUUAGUCACUACCGGCAAUACUUUCGUUAAAGUCUCAACCAUCCAAUAUAAGUCAUUGAUUUCCGAAUUUAGGAACUUUUAAAAGUGAACCAUUUAUUAAAAAAAACCCCUUUUUUUUAUUUGGUUGGGCAAGGGUUGGGUUAUGUUAUCAACUAUAUUUUUUUUUUGGGUAAGUACCAUGAGGUGUCCGGGUCAGUUUGCGCACACCUCGAUUAAUCCCCACUAGCGAAACUGAGCCUGCCGUUGACCACCAGGUGUUGAACUGUUGGGGCUCGAAUUGGGGAGCAAACCCAGCUGAACCCCAAAGCCUUACCCAAUGUCACCACCAUGACUCUAAUAUUAUAGUGCUCCAUAUGAGCAUUAUCAUAUAGAGCACCAUAAUAUUAGAGAAGUGGUGGUGACAUAUCAUAUGGAGCACCAUAAUAUUAGAGUUGUGGUGGUGACAUUGGCAACUUUUUCUGGACUUGACAACUUGCAGAACAAUUGACUAAUGAGCACCUCAUCCUCCUCUGUUUCUGACUCUGCGUGGAUCACCUAGUUUUAACCAUACAUGGUGUUACAUAUGACUGGUUUGAAAAUAAUAUUGAUUCAUCCGAACAAAUAAGCAGGGCAACAACAAUGGAGAAGAACAAAAUUCCAAAGUUUGUGUUACAGGGGCUUCUGGAUACAUUGGUUGUUCCAUUGUUUAAAAGCUUCUAGAGAAGGGCCAUAUUGUCCAUACCACUUUGAGGAACUUGGGUCUCUCUCUCUCUCUCUCUCUCUCUCUCUCUCUCUCUCUCUCUCUCUCUCUCUCUCUCAGAGCAAGUUAUUGCUCUUCCAGGCAGAUACAUAUGAUCCCAAUGAAUUUGAACCAGCCAUUUAAGGGUGUAAGUUUGUUUUUCAUGUGGCCACUCCAAUGCAACAUAACCCCAAAAGCUCUCAGGUCAGCCAGUCAGUCUCUCAACUUGAAUAUGCAGUACAAGGACACAGCUGAAGCUGCUGUUGCUGGGGUGAGGAACAUUGCUGAUUCUUGCAUUCGAUCAAACACCCGCUGAUCGACACAGCAAGCAUUUUUGCUUCGUCCACGAGGACAGAAGACGGGAUUGGAUUCGAACCCUGCUUGAUGAAUCAUGUGGGACAGCUCUUGAUGUCUCAUUUACUAGUACUAGUGUUAGAUUGUAGGGGAAACAAAGUGAUUUUAUUAUAUUUGAUGGAAAAUAGUACAUAGCUUGAUGUAGGCUAAUUGGCCUCUUUAAUUUUUUGGUUUAUUGGCCAUCACACUUGCUUAGAUUAGUUUGGGCUAUUUGGCCCUUACACUUAAAUUGAUGAGCUUUUUGGCUCCUCAACAUAUAGGGAUGGCAACGGGUCGGGUAGGGGCCCGGUAUGACAAUACCAUCUCCAUUCCCGCUUCCGUCUUCGAACCCAUCUCCGUUUAUUAGGUUUCGGGGAAUCCCCGUUUAUUAGGUUUCGGGGAAUCCCCGUUCCCGUCCCCAUCGGGGGACUAUUUCCCAUACCCGUCCCGAAUUCCCGAUUUUUUUGUAUAAAAAAAUAUUUAUCAUACAUUUUAACAUUAUGUUUCAUAUUAAAUUAUCAUUCAACACAUCCAAAUUAACUAUAAAGUUCAACUCAACAAUUCAAAAUCAUAUCAAUAUGAAAUUCCAUAGAAAAUUAGAAAAAAUUAGGAGAGGGAAGUUAACUUAAGGUUAAACAUAAAUAUUAUAAUGAUAUAUUUAUUUAUUUAAAUAUAAACAUAUAUAUUUUCAGAUCGAAUUCAAAAAUGAGGACGCCAAUACCAUCUCCUCUCCAUAUCGGCCCCUACCCGACCCGUUGCCAUCCCUAAUCCCUAUCAACAUAGCUUUAUUUGGGUAGCUCUUGGCUCUAUUAGUUUGGGAGUUCUUUUCAGGGGGCUCCACUUUGCUUGGGAAGGCUACAAGUCCUUUUACAGAUGAGAGUUGCCGACACCACCAAGUCCACCGACUUGGCUUUUUAUUUCCAGCCACAUGUUUAAACGACAUAGUUGGAGAACUUCUCCACAAUUCUUUACUGCAUACUUUCUUGGUUUUUCUGGAACAUUCUUCGAUCUUUAAUUGUGUUAGCCAACAUUCCCUUCAAGCUUAUAGCACUUUCUUCAAGCUUCUAGAUUUUUUAUUUUAUACAAAUGUGUAUUAAUUUUAAUAGCUACUGAUUUUUUAAUGGUACCUUUUCUUGCUCUCACUGUCUUACUCUCCAACUAAUUAAGACUUAAUUUGUAGUGCUCUAUGAUUAAAAUUUUAAUCACUGUGUUUGAUUUUAAUCUGGAAAUGUGUUCAAGGACUAUAUCAAAUCAAAGACAUUAGCGGAGAAAGCAGUGUUGAGCUAUAAUGUUUUGAUGGUGGUAAACUGGAAGUGGUAACACUUCCUUGUGGCUUGGUGGGAGGAGAAACUCUUCUUUCAUAUUUGCCUGGAAGCGUGGGAGUAUUUCUAUCACAACUUACUAGGGACUUGCCUUUUUACAAUGCACUAAAAUUACUGCAAGAAAUUACCGGUUCGGUUCCUUGUACACAUUGAAGAUGUCUGCCAAGCGCAUAUCUUCAGCAUGGAACAUUCAUCAAUGAGAGGUAGAUUCUGCUGUGCAGUUGCCAAUCCCACUAUCAAAGAAAUUGCAAUUUACUUCCAAGAAAACUACAAGGAAUACAAGAUGAAGAUAGCAAAAGAGUAAGGGAUCCAACCUAAUUUUCAAUCUUCAUAACUUCUAUGAAAAAUAUGUCUAGUUUUGAACCUUUGGCUCUGCCAAUGUUCCCAUUUUCAUAGAUUUUAUGAUUCUGAAUUCCAUUUCAGAUUGACUCAAGGACCAGAAGAAGGAACCAAACGUGACUUUUACUAAGCUGGUGAAGGUGGGGUUUGAGUAUAAGUACGGCAUGAAGGAUGUACUAGAUGAUAGUGUAGCAUGUGGAAGGCUUUUCAUUUGGAGCUCUUUUUCUCAGGUAAUUUAAUUAGCAUCCCUGCAUUAUGUGGGGAUAGAUAUACUGAUAUAAAAGCUUGCAGCAUUUUUCAUUGUAACGUUUAUAUAUGAAAAGUUAGGCUACAGUAGAAUAAAACCAUACCCAGAAAAAAGGACAUGUACAACUUAAGUGGUAAUGUACUUUCAUAUUCAGUGAACUAAAAUAAGUGUAAUUGGGUCAGGCUUGGCUUAGCUUCCGAGUCCGCCAACCAAACUUUAGUGGACCAUGUAGACUUCAACUCUUGUGAUGAGAAGAAUGAUAUGUGAUCUUGUUGUGUGGACGAAAGACAUUCCGCGUAAGCAUCAAUUGACAAAAGGAGUAACACUCAAUGAUCACAUCUUUUCUUUUUGGGGGACCAAUUAUAAAAUGGGCACGCACCCAGAUAGCAUUCACUGAAAAAAGACAAAGGGCAACAAUGGAGAAGAACAAAAUUUCUAGAGUUUGUGUUACAGGGGGUGCCGGAUUCAUUGGUUGUUCGCUUGUUAAAAAGCUCCUAGAGCAGGGCCAUACUGUCCAUGCCACUCUGAGGAACUUGGGUCUCUCUCUCUCUCUCUCUCUCUCUCUCUCUCUCUCUCUCUCUCUCUCUCUCUCUCUCUCUCUCUCUCUGUGCGCAUCUGUUAUGCAUGCUUGUAUUUUAACCCUCUUAUGGUAUCUUUUUACUCCAUAUGUGCUGCAGAGGAUGCAUCCAAAGUAGGCCUUCUCAAGUCCCUCCCUAAUGCAGACACCAAAUUGUUGCUUUUCCAAGCUGACAUAUAUGACCCCAAUGAGUUUCAACCAGCCAUCCAAGGAUGUGAGUUUGUUUUUCACGUGGCCACUCCGAUGCAGCAUAACAACCAAAGCUCUCAGGUUACACACUCAUACUAGCUAUAACAUAUGGGAUUGGACUUAAUUAGUCUAAUAUCAUGUUUGUAGGACAAUAUGUUCAAACAAAAGGGCUGGGAUAACUUAGUCCAAUUAGUACAAUCUUGAACAACAAUCCAAUUCAUUCUCAGGCGCGAAAUGAAGCCUUGGUUUUCUUUCUUGUGUGAUGGUUUGAUUAUUGAAAUCUGGUGCUUGACAGUUUGAGAAUUUGAACAUACAUGCAGUACAAGGACACAGCUGAAGCUGCUGUUGCUGGGGUGAGGAUUAUUGCCGAGUCUUGCAUUCGCUCACAGACCGUUAAGCGACUCAUCUACACUGCAAGCAUCCUUGCUGCGUCACCAAGGAGAGAAGAUGGGGUUGGAUUCAAACCCUGCCUUGAUGAAUCAUGUUGGACAUCUCUUGAUGUCUCACCUACUUAUUCAACUGAAUUUUCAAUGGUACCUCUUCUUGUUCUGUCUAUGAAACUGGCUAUUGAAAUCAACCUUGUGUUUGAUUUAUUAAUAUUAAUCCUUAUGUUUGAUUUUUAAUAUGGAAAUGUGCUCAAGGGGUAUAUCAUAUCAAAGACAUUAGCAGAGAGAGCAGUGCUGAGCUAUAAUGACAUUGAUAAUGGUAAACUGGAAGUGGUAACACUUCCUUGUGGCUUGGUGGGAGGAGAAACUCUUCUUUCAUAUUUGUCUGGAAGCGUGGGAGUAGUUAUAUCACAACUUACCGGGGACUCGUUUGGUUACAAUUCAUUAAAAUUGAUGCAAGAAGUUAACGGUUCGGUUCCUCUUGUACACAUUGAAGAUGUUUGCCAAGCACAUAUCUUCUGCAUGGAACAACCAUCCAUGAGAGGUAGAUUCUGCUGCGCAGUUUCCAGUCUGAACAUCAAAGAAAUUGCGAGCUACUUCCAAGAAAAUUACCCAGAACACAAAAUAGCAAAAGAGUAAGGAUCCAACUUAAUUUCAUUUUUUGAAAGAUUUCCUUACUUUUGAACUUUUAACUCCAGCAAUUUUAUCCGUUUUCUUCGAUCAUGAAUGUGUGAAUUCAUUUCAGAUUCAUUGAAGGACCAGAAGAAGGAAGCAAAUGUGACUUCAGUAAGCUGAUGAAGAUGGGUUUUGAGUAUAAGUAUGGCGUCAAGAAUAUACUAGAUGACAGUGUAGAAAGUGGACGGAGGUUAAGUAGGAGCUCUCAUUCUCAACUAAUUUAACCUUUUGUUUUGAUCAGAACUAAAGUAAUGUAAUUUGUGUCACUGCAUUAUGUGGGGAUGGAUAUACUCGAUACAAGCUUUGCAGCGUUCAUCAUACAUCUAUAUAAUCAUCUCUCAAUUGUAAAUAAAACAAAUUGCAGUACAAGUGAACUUCUAAAAAAAGCAAGAGCAAGUUUAAUAGCUAAAACCAAACCAAGAACGGACAUGAGCAUCUUAGAUGCAAUUACUGCUGAAUGUUGUGUUCCUCUUCACAUUCUAGCAACAUUUGCACUACUGAAUCCAUUGUUGGUCUUUUGUUCCUAUCUUCCUCCACACAGGAAAUACCAAUCUCAACCAUCUUUGCUGCUUGGUUCCUGCUGAAUUGCCCUUCCAAUCUUGGAUCCAACAUAUCCUCCAUCCAUUGAUCUUCCCCACAUUGAAUCUUCCUUUUGGCUACCUUGACAAACCUCUUCAGCUCUGCUUCCUCCCCGUCAGAAUUCUCCACCACCCGAUUCGAAAAUCGAAUGCCCUUCAAUAUCUCUAGAAGCACCACUCCGUAACUGUAAACAUCCACUUUUGCAGUGAUUGAAAGGUUCAAAGCCCACUCCGGGGCCAUAUACCCUUUUGUUCCUCGAAUGUGAGAGGAUACUGAAUUGAGGCCACCUCUCUGGGAUAACUUCGCCAGGCCAAAAUCUGCAAUUUUUGGUUCAAAAUUACUGUCUAGGAGUAUAUUUUCAGGCUUCACAUCACAAUGAAUAACCCAUUCUAGACACUCAUGGUGAAGAUAGGCUAAACCUUUAGCAAUCCCUAGUGCAAUUUUAAAUCUCUCUUUCCAUCCAAGGAAAUUUGGGGGGAACAAAUGCUUGUCCAAUGAUCCGUUUUCAACAUACUCAGAGAUUAGAAGUCUCUGUUUAUCUUCCGAACAGAAUCCCCAUGUUCUCAGUAGGUUCAUGUGAUUGACUUUCACAAUUGUGCUUACUUCUGCCCAAAAUACUUGUUCUCCUUUAUAAAUAUCUGCCAAUUUCUUGAUAGCUACCACUCUUUCAUCUGACAGAACACCCUUAUAUACAACCCCGGAAGCCCCUCUUCCCAGCUCUUCUUUAAAGUUUUUGGUUGCCUUCUUGAGCUCAGCAUAGAGGAACAUUCUGAAUUGACUUGAAAGCAAAGCAUAUCCAUCUUCUUGGGGAGGUGCCGCACCAUGUGAUCUUCUGAAAAGUAACCACCAACCUGAUAAUAUGAAGAGAAAUUCGACUGCACCAAUUGCAGAAGCAAAAGAAUACAGAUAUAUCCAUCUCUCCCUUUUACUGGUACUGGUGUGAGUAGUUGACACAUUGAUCCUGCACGUAUUAAAGACAUUAGGAUUUGUGGGUGGUGACGUAUCCACACUCUGAGGCAGCCUUAAGUAAAUACUGCCCGGAAUAUUUGGAGACACGUACCCAUUGAAGAGAGCACCUUUUGUGUAACAACUGUCUUCCCUAUAGCUAAAUGCUUGACAACGGCAAUCCUCCAAGCACUGUUUUCUGCAACGGAGAAAAGAAAUGGAUUCAUAAUAAAUGAGAUCAAAUCCAUAGAAAUCUGCAUGCUGAAUCUGCAUGAAUUUCCAUUGCUGGGACUGUGAGCAUGUAGGCUGGAAUUUAGGCUUGCAACCCUUGUGCCAGUCAGUUGUAUCAGCUACCUCAUAUCCCCGAGGGCAUGAGCACUUGCCCCUCUGAUGUAUAGACACAAAUCCCAUUUCUUCCACAGAUCCCAUGCACCUUGCACUGCUGCGUAAGAGCUUGCCAGGUGAUCACCCAUGAUUCUGUUGAACCACUGAGACUAUAAAGUCUCAGGUUUCCAUCGUAAUCCAUCGUUAACCGCCUUUUUACUCUCAUACCCAUGUCAAAAGCACUGAACUUCAAGUCAUCACUUGAGACAAAAUUUCCCAUUUCAUCAAAACCAGCAAUUCUGCUAGUGUUGUAGUUUGUUCUACCAUUAGCAAGUACUCUGUUACUAGGAUUAGGCCAAUAUACGCUUGUCAUAUCCGGACCAUCAUAAAUCAACCUCAAAACAUUGUCAUUAUCAAAAUAAAAACUAUAGUAGCCAGUACCGAAGUUCCCUUUUCCCAACAUAGAUAUUAGCUUCAUGCUCUUUGUAAAGGGUUGAUUUGGGAGGAGAGUAUCAGUGGGAAAAUCAAAGCUUUGCCAGAGAGUUUUACCUUGUGAGUCUUUCAAAACAAGGUUGCCAGAAUUCAAAAGCUCUGCCCUUUCAGCACCACCAGUGGGAGUGGAGGUACUGCUCUCCCAGACAAUUGUGCCAUCCACAUCUCUCAAGACCAUGGAGCCAUCUCGACUCAGUGAAACUCUGGACCCCAUGCCAUUGACUGGUCUUUCUCUGUUAGCCAUCCAGACGACGGUUCUGUCCUUAGAAUUUGUGAACCAUAUGGAGAACCAAUAGGCGUUUGUGCCCACCCCAAAGAACCCACAUGUGAAAGACUUAUCUGGGGAGAUUAGGAAAUCAGAAUCAUCUUCCACUGAAAGAGAAGAGCCUCUUUCCAAACUGUUCCUGGUUUUUGCAGUUGCAAAACAGUAGAAAAAUAGAGUGGUGACUAAAAUGAGAAAACAUUUUGGAGAGAGAACAGGCCGGUAGCAUCCCAUUGUUGGACUUGGAGUUGAAGUUUGGUUUCGAAGUCUUUUAUUGGACUUGGAGUUGAAACAUGGGACUACCAUAUGUUGGAAAGUAACAACUAAAAAUGAAAAGCACAAUGGUUGUUAAGUAAAGUGGCCGGUGGUCUUUGUGUGCAGCACAUUCUCACAAGCUUGUCACAUUCACAUUUGCAGCAGUUUCUUUGAACUUGCUUGCAACAGUGUUUGAUUUUUCUUCCACCAUUCACUUUCUACGAAGACUUUGGUGUUUCCUGUGAAAGGAAUAUGAGUGUGUCUACAUUUUAUGCAUCUCAUUCAAGUUGAAGUACAUAAGCAAGCAAGAGUAGUAACUCUUCAGUAUAUUAGAGUAUUUCUUUCAUCAAAUACUUGUUUCUUUCUUUGCGUCUUGGUCCCAAUGUCUUUGAGAGUAAAAACUGAUAAGUGUGAUAAAGUUUGUAAACUCAAUACCAACAAUAUAUAAUAUAGUACAAUAAUACAAGACAACGAGGUCUUGCUCAGUGAAAAAAGUCAUUAACUUGUAGACCAAUCUCAGGUUCGAAUCCCCAUGACACCUUGAUAGUGUGUGUAUGUGAGAAACCCCCUAUCUCCUUGCAGUUUAGACUACGUUUUCUAUUUUAUAUAUAUAAUACAAGCCACUGCCCAGCUUGGCUUUGGCCCCUAUAUGUUUUCCAAGUGUAAUGUAACCCUGACUGACUAUCCUGCUCCCAACGUUUCAAUUUCCAAAUUUUCAUCCAAGCAUGUUUUUAUGGUUUACUUGUUAUGAAAGAAAUGGAAAUAUUUGCAAUUCAGCUAUGGCUAUGAUAUGAGCACGCGACUAUUUGAAAGAGUAUAGCAUUCUCUUUUUUUCUUUUUCUUUUUAAAUUUAUAAAUGACUUGGAUUCUUUCCUCGGGGCUAAUCAUUAUUCAAUAGAAGAAAGGACACUUCACGGUUAGGCAUUAUCAUACCUGGUGUUACGCACCAUCUUGAACACAGAGAAAAAUAUGACCCAAAAAAUGAAAGAAUAAUUUAUGUGAAAAAUUUGAGAUACUACAAUGGAUAAGUAGAAGUUCGUGGGAUGAGAAUCCAAUCCAAUCUUAGUCCAAAGAUAAACUAAUUCAAUAAAGUCCCAGUUUUGAACAACAAUCCAAUCCAAUCCAAUCUUACUUUCAGCCUGCGAAAUGAAGCCUUAGGAAUCCUUGUCUAAAUGUGUCAAGGGACCAUUAAGUCCUACUAACAUAAAAAGUGCAAACAGGCAGUGGCCAGCAAUAGAUAUUUGCCCUAUGAUAUAACACAAGAUGAUUUAUCAACACUAAAUCAUUAUGUUUGAUCUUUAAGCAGCGAAGAAUGGUACUAGAAUAAAACCAAAACCAAGAAAAACGACAUGUAGAGUUUAAAUGCAUGACAUAAGCUAAUUUACUCUCAUGUUUUGUGAACCAAAAUAAGUGUAAUUAGGUCAAGACAGUGGCUUACCUACCGGGUCGGCUCCCGGUUGGCUUCAACUUUGGUGAUGUUGUCAAGUACCAGCUAUUUUCAUAUGUUGACGAAAGGCAUUCCUAGCAUCAAUUGACAAAAGGGUCAGCAUCAAUUGCAUAUGUUUUUCUGUUUUUUGUGUUUUGUUUGUUUUUGUGUGUGUCUAUGACAUUGGUAAGUUUUGCUGGACUUCUUGGCAAUAGCUGGUUAGGACCCAUAUAUUCUGUAUGACAUGUUUCCCAAAUCAAAGGCAACAAUGGAGAAGAACAAAAUUUCUAGAGUUUGUGUAACAGGGGCUGCUGGAUUCAUUGGCUAUUCGCUUGUUAAAAAACUCCUAGAGCAGGGCCAUACUGUCCAUGCCACUCUGAGGAACUUAGGUUGCUCUCUCUCUCUCUCUCUCUCUCUCUCUCUCUCUCUCUCCCUCUCUUUCUCUCUCUCUCUCUCCCUAUGAAACUGCUAUGUAUGCUUGUAUUUUAUCUGCACAACCCUCUUAUCUGUACUAUGUAUGGUCUCCAUAUAUGAUGCAGAUGAUGCAUCCAAAGUAGGCCUUCUCAAGUCCCUCCCUAAUGCAGACAGCAAAUUGUUGCUGUUCCAAGCUGACAUAUAUGACCCCAAUGAGUUUCAACCCGCCAUCCAAGGGUGUGAGUUUGUCUUUCAUGUGGCCACUCCAAAGCAGCAUGUCAACCAAAGCUCUCAGGUCAGGCACUCGUACUUUUUAGGCAAGAUAACAAUCCAAUUCAAUCAUGCUCGCCAAAUGAAGCCUUGGUUGUUUGAUAGUUUGAUUAUUGAAAGCUGGUGCAUGACAGUUUGAGAAUUUGAACAUAUAUGUAGUACAAGGACACAGUUGAAGCUGCUGUUGCUGGGGUUAGGACCAUUGCUGAAUCUUGCAUUAGCUCACAGACCGUUAAGCGACUCAUCUACACUGCAAGCAUGCUAGCUGUGUCACCGAGGAGAGACGACGGGGUUGGAUUCAAACCCUGCCUUGAUGAAUCAUGUUGGACACCUCUUGAUGUCUCAUUUACUUAUGCCACUGAUUUUUCAAUGGUACCUCUUCUUGCUUGUGAAUGAAAUUAGGUCUUAAUGUUUCAUUAAUUAAAAUUAAUCUUUAUGUAUGAUUUUAAUCUGGAAAUGUGCUCAAGGGGUAUAUCAUAUCAAAGACAUUAGCAGAGAGAGCAGUGCUGAGCUAUAAUGACAUUGAUAAUGGUAAACUGGAAGUGGUAACGCUUCCUUGUGGCUUGGUGGGAGGAGAAACUCUUCUGUCAUAUUUGGCUACUAGUGUGGGAGUACUUAUAUCACAACUUACUGGGGACUCUUUUGGUUACAAUGGAUUAAAAUUGAUGCAAGAAGUUAACGGUUCGGUUCCUCUUGUACACAUUGAAGAUGUCUGCCAAGCACAUAUCUUCUGCAUGGAACAACCAUCCAUGAGAGGUAGAUUCUGCUGUGCAGUUGCCAGUCCGAAUAUCAACGAAAUUGCGAGCUACUUCCAAGAAAAUUAUUCAGAACACAAGAUAGCAAAAGAGUAUCGAUCCUACUGAAUUUCAUUUUUUUUAUGACAGAUUUCCACUACUUUUAAUUUUUAACUCCAGAAUUUUACUCAUUUUCUUUGAUCAUGAAUGUGUCAAUUCAUCACAGAUUCACUGAAAGCAUCGAAAGACUAGAAGAAGGAAGCAAAUGUGACUUCAGUAAGCUGAUGAAGAUGGGUUUUGAGUACAGGUAUAGCAUGAAGAAUAUACUAGAUGACAGUGCAACAAGUGGAAGGAGGUUAACUAGGAGCUCUUUUUCUCAACUUAUUUAACUCUUUGUUUUGAUCAAAACACAACUAGAUGUAAUUUGUUCAUCAUGCAUCUGCAUAAUCAUGGCUCAAUUGCAAAUAAUUCAAAUUGCAGUACAAGUAAACUUUUAAAAAGGCAAUAGCAAGUUUAAUAGCUAAAACCAAACAAAGAAUGAACAUCAGCAGCUUAGAUGCAAUUACAUCUGAAUGUUGGGUUCCUCUUCAUAUUCUAGCAACAUUUGCACUACUAAAUCCCUUGGUCUUAUGUUCCUAUCUUCCUCCACACAGGACAUACAAAUCUCAACCAUCUUUGCUGCUUGGUUCCUGCUGAACACCCCUUCCAAUCUUGGAUCCAACAUAUCCUCUAUCCAUUCAUCUUCCCCACUUUGAAUUUUUCUUUUCAGGCUUCACAUCACAAUGAAUAACCCAUUCUAGACACUCAUGGUGAAGAUAGGAUAAACCUUUAGCAAUCCUUAGUGCAAUUUUAAACCUCUCUUUCCAUCCAAGGAAAUUUGGGGGGAACAAAUGCUUGUCUAAUGGUUUGCUUUCAACAUACUCAAGAGAAGAGAACUCUGUGUUUAUCUUCAGAACAGAAUUCCCAUGUUCUCACCAGGUUCAUGUGAUUGACUUUCACAAUUGUGCUUACUUCUGCCCAAAAUACUUCUCCUUUAUAAAUAUCUGCUAAUUUCUUGACAGCUACCACUCUUUUAUCUGCCAGAACACCCUUAUAUACAACCCCGGAAGCCCCUCUUCCCAGCUCUUCUUUAAAGUUUUUGGUUGCCUUCUCGAGCUUAGCAUAGAGAUACAUUCUGAAUUGACUUGAAAGCAAAUCAUAUCCAUCUUCUAGAAACAAGCUUAAACUGAAUAGACUUGCAAUAGGGUUCAUCAUAAUUAGGGGUGGUUGCGGUUCGGUAACCGCGAAUUUUUACUCAAACCGCAAACCGAUCGACUAUUUGCGGUUUGGUGAUUUUUGAAACCGCAAACCGACCGUGUUUUGCGGUUUACCGCAUUGCGGUAAACCGCAAAAAUGCGGUCGGUUACAGCUAAUUUGCGGUUUAAAACCGCAAAUUCUCAAGCAUUCACAAAAAUAUAAAUUUACAACCUAAAUAAAUAAAUACACAACCUUAAUUUCUCAAGCAUAUAUAAAUUCACAAUCGAUUCCAAUUCUCAAGCAUUCACAACCUAAGAAAAUUAAAGUUACAAUUCCAAACAUUCCAAUUAAAGUUAAACUUCUCAAGCAUUCCAAUUCCAAAUCCUUUAAAUUUACAAACCAAAAGCAAAAUGAAUUAAAGUUACAACCAAAAAGAAAAAUCCAAUUCACAGUUAAUUAAAGUUACAAACUAAAAGGAAAAAUGCAAUACACCAAUGUUACAAACUCAAGUGUUGGUGGUGAGUGGAUUUGAAGAACCCCUUUGUGUUGUUUGAGCACCAAUGCUAUCUACAAAUAAAACAACAUAGUUUAGUACAUUUUAUUAUAAGAAGAAGCAUAAAUAACACUAGCAUAAAUAAACUAAUUACUUACAAGUUGUCAUAUCUUCCAUUUCCUUGUAGAAUUCAACCUCAUCAUCUGUUGGUUCCUUGUAAAAGGAAAAUUCGUCCGCUCUAAGCCAAUCACUAGUACACACUAAUGCCUCUACCAUUUUAGGAUGCAAAGAGCUUCUAAAAGGAUCCACAAUCCUCUUGCCUAGGCUAAAAGCAUUUUCACUAGCAACCGUAGAACUUGGAAUUGCAAAGAUAUCCUUGGCAACUUGUGAAAGAAUAGGAUAUCUUGUUCGGUUCCCUUUCCACCAAUUCAAGAGAAGAGAAGGGUUUACAAUUUUACUUAAUUAUUUAUAGAGUAUAGCCGUGCGGCUAUACUUUGCGGUUUGCGGUAACCGCAAAUUUUGAAAAUCAAAUACCGCAACCGCAACCGUAAAUGCGGUUCGGUUCUUAAUACCGCGAUUGCGGUUUUAUUGCGGUAAAAUAUCGGUUGGUUUUUGCGGUUUUUCGGUUUUUCGGUUUAAAAUGCCACCCCUAAUCAUAAUCUAUAUUUUAUCACUCAUUUGCCGACGAAUACACAACAUAGUUCAAGUAAACAUUUGUAAUUCAAAAAGAAACAUUACUUACAGCAUACAGCUUAAAUCCAAUUACUACUGAAUGUUGGAUUCCUCUUCACAUUCUAGCAACAUUUGCACUACUGAAUCCAUUGUUGGUCUUUUGUUCCUAUCUUCCUCUACACAGGAAAUACCAACCUCAACCAUCUUUGCUGCUUGGUUCCUGCCGAACUGCCCUUCCAAUCUUGGAUCCAACAUAUCCUCUAUCCAUUCAUCUUCCCCACAUUGAAUUUUCCUUCUGGCUAUCCUGACAAACCUCUUCAUCUCUGCUUCUUCCUCCUCAGCAGUAUCCACCACCCGAUUUGAAAGUCGAAUGCCCUUCACUAUCUCUAGAAGCACUACACCAUAACUGUAAACAUCCACUUUUGCAGUGAUUGAAAGGUUCAGAGCCCACUCCGGGGCCAUAUACCCUUUUGUUCCUCGAAUGUGAGAGGACACUGCAUUGAGGCCGCCUCUCUGGAAUAACUUUGCCAGCCCGAAAUCUGCAAUCUUUGGUUCAAAAUUACUGUCUAGGAGUAUAUUUUCAGGCUUCACAUCACAAUGGAUAACCCAUUCUAGACACUCAUGGUGAAGAUAGGCUAAACCUUUAGCUAUCCCGAUUGCAACUUUGAACCUCUCUUUCCAUCCAAGAAAAUUUGGGGGAAACAAGUGCUUAUCCAAGGAUCCAUUUUCAACAUAUUCAGAGAUUAGAAGUCUGUGUUUACCUUCAGAACAGAAUCCCCAAGUUCUCACUAGGUUCAUGUGAUUGAUUUUUUCAAUUGUGCUGACUUCUGCCCAAAAUACUUCUUCCGCUUGAUAAAUAUCUGCCAAUGCCUUGACAGCUAUCACUCUUUCAUCGGCCAAAACACCCUUAUAUACAGUCCCAGAACCCCCUCUUCCCAGUUCUUCCUUGAAGUUUCUGGUUGCUUUCUUCAGCUCAGCAUAGAGAUACAUUCUAAAGUUACUUGAAAUCAAGCGAUAUUUAUCUACCAAGGGAGCUGACAUACCUUGUGAUCUUCUGAAAAAGAACCACCAACCUGAUAAUAUGAAGAGAAAUUCAACAGCACCGAUUGCAGCAGCAAAAGAAUACAGAUAUACCCAUCUCACCGUUUUACUGGGAUUGUCAUACAUUGAAGAAGUACCUAUUUUAACAGCAUUAGUCCUGCAUGAAUUAAAUACAGUGAGAUUGGCCGCUGGUGAGGUUUCCAUACUCAGAGGCUCAGGCAGCCUUAAGUAUAGACUGCCCUCGAUAGUUGGAGACCUGAGCCCACUGAAGAGAGCACCUUUUGUGUAACACUUCUGUCCCCUAUAGACAAAUGCUUCACAACGGCAAUCCUCGACACAGAGUUUUGUGCAAUUCUGAAUGGAAGUGGAUUCACUGUAAUUGAGAUCAAAUCCAUAGAAAUCUACGUACUGAAUCUGCUUGAAUUUCACUCUCUGGGACUGAGAGCAUGUAGGCUUGAACUUAGGCUUGCAACCCUUGUUCCAGUUACUUGUAUCCACUGCCUCAUAGCCAGGAAGGCACGAGCACUUAAGCUCUGGUGUAUAAACACAAAUCCCAUUUCUCCCACAGAUCCCAUGCACCCUGCACUGCUGUGCUAGAGCUUCCCAGGUGAUCACCCAUGAUCCUGUCGAGUUUAGACUAUAAAGUCUCAGGUUUCCAUCAUAAUCCGUUGUCAACCUUCGUUUCACCCUUGCACCCAUGUCAGAAGCACUGAAUAUCAAGUCAUCACUGGAUACAAAAUUGCCCAUUUCAUCAAAAACAGCAAUUCUACUACUAUUGUAGUCUGUUCUACCAUUCUGAUAUACACUCAAACCAGGCCCAGGCCAAUACACACUUGAUAUGUCAGGACCAUCAUAAAUCAACCUCAAAACAUUGUCAUUAUCAAAAUAGAAACUAAAAUAUCCAGUACCAAAGUUGCCUCUUCCCAAACUAGAUGUCAGCUUCAUGGUCUUUGUAAAGGGUUGAUUUGGGAGGAGAGUAUCAGUGGGAAAAUCAAAGCUUUGCCAGAGAAUUUUACCUAGUGGGUUUUUCAAAACAAGGUUGCCAGAAUUCAAAAGCUCCGCCCUUUCAGCACCAGUGGGAGUUGAGUUGGUGCUGCUAUCCCAGACAAUUUUGCCGUCCACAUCAGUCAAGAUCAUGGUGCCAUCUCGACUCAGUGAAACUCUGGACCCCAAAGCAUUGACUGGUCUGUCUCUGUUAGCCAUCCAAACAAGGGUCUUGUUCUCGGAAUUUGUGAACCAAAUGGAGAACCAGUAGGCAUUUGUGCCCACCCCAUAGAACCCACAUGUAAAAGACUUAUGUGGGGAAGUUAGGAAACCAGAAUCAUCUUCAACUGAAAAAGAAGAGCCUCUUUUUAAACUCUUCUGGGUUUUUGCUGUUGCAAAACAACAACAAAAUACAGUGAUGACUAGAAGAAUAAGAAAGCAGGGAAAUUUUGGAGAUGACGCGGUUUGGUGGUAUGCCAUUUUUGGAGGUUCCACUUUGGUGAACACAAUUUAAAGGGACUAUAAGUAAGGAAAAUUCUACAGUGGGCUUGGCGCAUGGAUGCGCCCAUUGUUACAGACCAUUGGAUGAGUAGUUGGUGAUGUGGAGGUAUCCACACCGUUGAGUUAAUUACCAGAUAAAUCGGUGGUUGUAGGUAAAAAGAAAACAAAAACAAAAGCUCUCCUUCAGUAGCAUUGGGUUUCUCUUUUCUCUCUCUUCCGUUUCGACUCCUUCCAAAAUCGCUCCUCUCCUCCUCCUGUGACGACGAGACAGCGCGACGAACACAACUCCUCUCCUCUCAGGUAUCUCUCUCUUUCUUCUCCCUAAUUGUCUCUCUCAUCUCUAUAUCUCAUUGACGCAGCACAAGCAACAAAAGUUUCAAGCGAAACCUUGAGUAAUAAGAAAUCUGGAUUCCACCAGAAACUAAGAGGAAUUCUCUUGGGAUAAUAGAAACGUCAGACAAACCUGUCUAAAUACGCAACUCUCAACCCUUGAACUACUAGGGGAGUUAUUACAUUAAAACUGAAAAACAUAAUUAAUUCAGAGACUUAACUACGUAACUCCGAAACUGAAAAAAACAGAAUUUAUUCAGAGAAUUAACUAUGAAACUUUGAAUCCAGUUUUGAAAGGCCAAACGAUCUCAGAAUACCAAAAUCUAUCGUACAUCACUGCAAAGCUGUGAGUUUGGCUCGUGGCGUCGUUCCCUUUCCGAAAUGGUAUUUUGCGUCCUAAUCGGAGCUCGGACAACAAAUCUGCAAAUUUCCGCUACGUCCUUUUCUAGCUCAACCGCGAUAAAAUCUGCCAUCUGUUUUACAUCACUCAUGGUCUCUCAAUCUCCUUCCCAGGCUUCGUUUCAAAACCAAACCCAUACCAAAAAUCUCAGCCCCAAUUGAAACCCCCAUUUAGCUCGAUCCCUGCGUCUAUCUCCCAAGAUAAUUUUAAUUAUUCAAGGUUUGAGUUUUCUAAUUUAUAUUGUAAUUUUUAGGUUUUAAUAUUGGGCUAUGGUCUCUGCAGGUUUUCAACUUUUUAAUUUGUAUUUGAACCAUUAAUUUGGAGACAAGGUGAGGAUUUCAUAUUAGUGUUGAACUAGAUGUAGAUUUGGUAAUGUUAGUUUAAUUUUGAGUUUACUGCUGCAUUCAUCAUGUUUUGGUUUUUUUUUUCUUUUCCAAUUGAUUUUUUUUUUUCUGAGUUGGUUCUUGUGUCUACAAGUUGCAUCUUGUUUUCAUAUUCGGAUUCCUGAAUGUGCUAUGAUGUCAUUCUUAAGUCUUUUUUUUUUUUUCCUGCCUGUGGCCCCAUUGAUUUAUGAAUAUCAUCUUUGGAAGCUUGUUAUGAUUGAUUUUUUUUCUUCUUCUUGUCAGUAUUCUACUAAAUACGUGUGAAGGUUGCCUCUUUUUUGGGGUUUUAAUGAAAGCUACCUAACAACCAAACAAUAAAAGCCUCUAUUAGUUUUUUUAGUUUCCUUUUAGUCCCUCUAAUUUUUUGCUGACCUUGUGCUUUCUCUUACUGACUGACAAUUGGAUGUUCACUUGGUGUUGUACUGCAGGAAGAGUGUUGUAAUUUUCUAUGAAUUGCUUGAUUUUCAUUCAUCAUGUGUACAUCUACAUAGGAAGCCCUGUUUAUUACCUCCUCUCAUGCUUAGGUCAUCUCCAACUCUUGGACUCAAACCUAAAAUAUCCUCCCAAACUUCUUCUAACCCAAGAAAAGAAAGGACCCAAAAUUUGGAAAAACUCAAAUUUGGACCCAAAUAUAGAUCCAAGUAUUGCCUGGACCCAAUACUAUUCACAGAACCCCACGCUGAGGUGGCAUAGCCCAUGUGCUUUUGAAAAAUGGUGAGACCCACGCUGGUUACAUUUUCUGAUGGGCUUGUCUGUGGCAUGGGCCACGUGUCGGCACUAUAAGCUAGAGCCGUUGGGCUUUGGCUAUUUUUUUUUUUUUAAAAAAAAAAAAAUCAAAUAGUAUCGCUGGGGCCCACAUGCUGGCUGUUUCCAUUAAAAAAAAAGACUUAAACAAUUCUUAAACAAUUUAAAUAAAGUUGCGGACUUAAAAUUUGAGUCCGGAGGGUUGGGAGAAAAAACGAUUUGAGUCCGGGCAAAGCUCAAAUAGUCACUUUUUAAAGGGGAAAAAUUUGGGUUUAGCCCCUCAUGAGUUGGAGAAUGCCUUACUAUCCUAGGAUUGUCUACCCUUCAUGUAUGUGAGUUUUAAAUUUUCAUCAUUAUAUAUGUUAUUAAACAUUAGAGAUUAUUUAAGGCAUCAUCUAUUAUCUGAAUUCUGCUUAGUCUUAGUUCCAUGUGCAUUAAUUAACUCUUUAAUUCAUACAUUUACAUUUUAGCAACUUGAUGUGAUUAUUGUGGCUCAUACCAAAAAGGCAAUCUUAGGCUCAUCAAGGAAAGUCAAGCUUCCAAGUGACUUACUGGAUAUUAACAUUUUUGUAGUGCUGAAUAUUUAUUUGUAUUGGAUGUGAGAUUUCAGUUUGUUGCUUUAUGUAAUUAUUUAGCAAUUUAAUUAUUUCUUUGCACCUUUUGUUUACGAAGCUUUAAUUUUCUUUUUCAGUCAUACUAUUCUUUUUGUACUAUCUGUUUUUUUAUUUAGCUUGGCAUUGUGGUCGAGAUGUGGAUGUGAGUUUUUUUUGCUGAAAAGAAACCCAUUGUGAUUUGAGCUUUUUUUUUUUUUUUUUUUUUUUUUUUUUUUUUUUUACAGACAAGACACCCAAUAUAAUUAAUUUCAGUAUCUUUUUCUUUUUUUUCAUGUUAGGCAUAUUGUUGAUGUUGAAAUUUUUGUGACUCAUUUAAAAAGCAUUAGGUAGAAUUUCUUAAUUGUAAUGACAUUAUGUGCUCUGACAUUGAGUUCAUCUUCAUCGGAAUUGUUGUAUUAUAUUGAAGUUUGAUAUGGUAUUUAGGCGUGUAAUUACCAAAUUGUAAGGGGUUUUUUGCAGUUGGUGUACGUAACUUAGCAUACAAUUGGCAUCCUUUUUGCAUUUUCAUAAUGCUAUUACCAACUGACUAGUCUGUUAUUGCAAUUAGAGUAUGCGACAUUAUAUUUGUUGCCUUGCAUUUUUGUAAUGAAAAUGCAACAGGUACUUCAGUAUGUCAUUUUUGAAUCCAAUUAACAAUUGGUUAGUCCGUUUUUACAAUUAGUGUAUGCAUAUUGUCAUGUUAUUGGUAGCCUUUUCAAUUUGCACAUUGUUAGAAUGCAAAUACAAUGUGUGGUUUGUCAAUGCAAUUGACAAACAGGUAAUGUCAUUUGCAUUCCAGUCAUGCUAUUGAUAAACAAAGCAGUCUCAUUUGCAUUCCAAUCGUGCAAUUGCCAUUAUCUAUGCAUAAUUAAUUGAAAAUAUAAAUACAAUAUGUGAUUUGUUAAUGAAAUUGACAAACAGGUAGUGCCAUUUGCAUUCCAGUCGUGCAAUUGACAAUCAUAGUAGUCCCAUGCUUUAUAUGUUUAUUAUGAAAAUACAAAAGAAAAUUGAACUAUGCAGUUGGACAAGUUUAUUUUUCAAAAUAAACAUUUGAAUUGAUUAAGGGUAAAAUAAAUACAAGUUAAUAGAAAGUAUUAGGUCAUACAAAUCCCACAUAAAUAAAGGUACAAAGCAUUAGAUUUUCACAUAUUAACUUGGGUUAUUCGCAGCAAUAGUUCCUCAAUUAUACCUGUAGUUACAUUUGGGUCACUGAACUCAAUUAUUAGUUGCAGAGGUCACUUAAAUAUGUGUUUUGUUACACCAAUAGUUCUUCCGCCAAGUUCUUUUAAAUUUUCUGUCAAAAAUGAGGGUAAAUUCGGAAAUUCAUCCACAACCCUCCCUAUCCUCCACAACUUCAAAAUUUGUAAAUUUGUAAAUUCGGAAAUUCAAAUUGAAUAUCAACUAAUAAAAAUUCUCACAAAUCUACUAUACAAAACUUCAAAACCCUAACCCACAAACCCCUCUUCCCUCUCAACCUCUAGAUGGUUUGCAAAUUGACGGCGAACUGAGUCUAAGAAAGAUUCCUCUUGUGUCAAACUUAUGGUUCAACCUUCCAUUCUUGUUUGCUCAUUCGAGGAGGUCCAAAGAUUCAUCAUUUCAGCACCUACCUUUUUUCAUUUUUGUUUCAAAAGUCUACAAAUUUUAGCACCCAUGAGUCAGAUUUAAUGGCUCUUGCAAAAGAGUCGGGUUUUAAAUUGGUGUAUUUGAAUUGGAUUUGAAGAUUAUGGAAGACCGAUGUGAUUUAGGAGAAGGGUUCAUCUCGAUACGCAAAUCGGAUUCAAAGGUUGGUUCUUUUUCUUGCGCUUAUUUUUUAGGUUGUUUUAGAUUGUUGGGGACAAGCAUGUGAGUAUUGAAUUGGGACAAUAACGUGACUUGGGUUCUCGUAAGUGGCUUAAAAUGCAAGAUCUUGAAUCUGUUUGCUGGUCUGAAGGUAUUUAUUAUGAAUAUUUGAAAAUAUUCUUGGUGCUGUGCGGCAUCUUUUUAAUUGAAUUUUUUGGUGUCGACAAGGAUUGGGUUGCGGCAAUGGAGGGUUGUGGAGGUAGGGGAGGGUUGUUGAUGAAUUUCCGAAUUUAUCCUCACUUUUGAUAGAAAAUUUAACAAAAUUUGACGGAAUGACUAAUGGUGCAACACACCUAAUUCAAUGACGUCUGCAACUAAUAAUUGAGUUCAGUGACCCAAAUGUAACUACGGGUAUAGUUGAGGGACUAUUACUGCGAAUAACCCUAUUAACUUUUAUUGUUAAGCUCUUUUUUGUUAAGUUAGAUCUCACUUUUAAAUGACGAUGGGAAAUUUGUCUCUUGUUUGGCAAUUUCCAUUAAUAUAUAUUUAUAAAUAAAUAAAAAAAAUUAAAAAAAGAGCAUGUUUUACCAUCAAUUACCCUAUUUGCUUCACUUUUGACUUCGUUUUCCACGUGAUUUCACUUCCCAUUCCUAAUGCUUUUGUAAUCCUAAAGUGAAUAAGUUUUUUUUUGGGUAAAAAAAAUACGAUUUUUGGCCUUUGUAAAUAUGUUGUAAACAUGUAUUUAAAAUAUAUUAAAAUUAAUAAAAUAAAUUUAUAAAGGGAAGGUGAGAUAUUAGAGAAUUAAAUUAGGUUCUUAUCCUUGUAAGGACUCAUAUGCAAUUGACAAACAGUUAGUGGAAAAUUGAAACUGAAUAAUGCAAUUGACAAAUAGUAAGUUCAAAACUGCAAUUGACAAACAGUAAAAUGGAACAUUCGAAAGGUAAAUUGGGUCCUUAUACUUAUAAACACAAAUGUUUACAAUAUUAAGGUCUCGUAUUACUCUAUGUUAAACAGGUGUGUUCCAUAAGAGUAUAAAAUUCAUCCUUAAUAUUGUAAUAUCGUAAUUUACAAAGAUAAAGACAUAUAGUACAAUAUUAAGGUCACUUGGAGCAUUAGGAAAGUAAAUUAGGUCCUUAUACCUGUAUAAGAAUAGGGUAAGAGUGGACCUUGGUGGAAUAAAUUUGGUCUUUGUCAUUGUAAACAAGGGAGUUUACAACAUAUAUGACUUCCGUUAUAUUUAUAUGGACAAAGGGGUUCCAUAAAGUUAUAAAAGAGAUCCUUAAUCUUGUAAUAUCGUAAUUUACAAAACUCGUAAUGACCCCCAAUACAAUGUUAAGGUAAGAAUGAACCUUGGAGUAGUAAGUUAAGUCAUUAUCCUUGUAAACAAAGUGGUGGUUACAACAUUAAGGAUUCGUAUUAUACUAAAAUGGACAUAGUCGUUCCAUUACAUUGUAAAAGCCAUCCUUAAUCUCGUAAUACCAUAAUUUACAACAAUAAGGAACCCUUGUAUAAGAAUAGAGUAAGAGCGGACCUUGGUGGAAUAAAUUUGGUGCUUAUUCUUGUAAACACAAGGGUUUACAGUAUUAAGGACCUCUUUUACAAUGUUUUGGACCUUCAUGUUCCAUAAACUUGUAAAGUGUAUCCAUAAACUUGUAAUAUCAUAAAUUACAAUAGAAAGGAUCUCUAUUACAUGGUUAAGGUAAUUAUGGACCUUAGAGAUGUAAAAUUGGUACUUAUUUGUGUAAAUGCAAUGGUUUAUAACAUUAAGGAAUCGUAUUACAAUGCUUUGGACAUAAGCUCUCCAUAAACUUGAAACGUAGAUUCUUAAUCUCGUACAUUACAAGAUUUGGGUUCUCAUUUAUGAUUUUUUACAUCAUGAUUACAAUUUUGAGGUUCUUCCUUAUCCCUACCGUUGUAAUAUCCUGAUUUACAAUUGAAAGGAUCCCUCUUACAAUGAUAAGGUAAGGAUAGACUUUGGAGAAGUAAAGGUGGUCCUUACUCUUGUAAACACAAGGGUUUACAAUAAUAAGGACCCCUUUUACAAUGUUUUGGACCUCGACAUUCCAUAAACUUGUAAUGGGGAUCCUUCCUAUUAUAAAUUAGGGUGUUAUGAGAUUAUGAAAUAUGAAGAACCUUAAACUUGUAAUUAGAUUGCAAAAACUAAUAAAUGGGAACCCAAAUAUUGUAAUCUAUGAGAUUACGGAUCCACUUUACAAGUUUAAAGAACUCUUGCGUCCAAAGCAUUGUAAUACAAAUCCUUAAUGUUGUAAAUCAUUGUUUACUAGAAUAAGGACCCAUUUUACAUCUCUACGGUUCAUCAUUACCAAUUCCUUGUAAUAUGGAUCCAUAUCCUUGCAAAAGGCUGAUUUUUUACAACAUUAUGGAUUCGGUGAACCCUAACGUUGUAAUCUAAGAGCAAAAUUUUGUAAAUUGUUACCCAAACUUGUAAGUUAUGAGUUUAAGGAAUUGGUAAUGGUAACUCAAUCACUUUCUUCUCCUUCAUUGCGUAUUUUGUUAUGUUACAUACUUAUAUAAAAUUUUGAAUAUUUUAGUUAAAAUUGUACAUAUUAUGUGUAAAUAUCAUAUUUAUGUAUUCUAUAUUGAUUAUAAAGUGCAAUAUAUAUUAUUUAAGUAUUAUAUUAUUAUAUAUUCUUAUUUAACAUUUUUUUUAUCAGAACAUGAACCAAUUAUAUUACGAAGAUAUGAAUAAAAAAAGGGAGACGGAUAAGUAAGAAUAAGCAAGAAUACAUAUAUUUUUAUAUAUAAUAAUAUGUCAUCUUGAGAAGUAAUUAUAGUGUGGCUUCAGAGUAUGUCAUAUAAUAUUUAUUAUAAUAUAAGUGGAUAUUUAUUGAUAUUAUGUCUUAAAAGUUGAAUAUCUAAAUACGUAAAUGAGUUAUACUAUGUAGUCGUAUUUUUGUUCCUUAUAGUAAUUUAUUCACAUUUAAGAAAUAACAAAACAAAAAGAAUAGUUUAGAUGUUCAAAAAUUGUAUUUGGUUUCAAGUAAAAAAAAAAAAUUCAGUUUGGCCAAUUGGAUUUAUAUAAAGUUACCCAAGUUUUAUUGAUUUUGGUUACAAGUUAUAUAAAGCAACCCCUAACUCAUGAAUCAUGAAAAAAUCUGCAAAUGUUGUGAAAUAAUUGAUAUAAUUAUAACAAACAUUAUAGUCCACCCUAAUCCAUAACACUGUAAUACUCUAAUUUACAAAGAAAAUGAUAUAUAGUACCAAGGUAAGAAUGGACUUUGGACGAGUAAAAUUAUGUCAUUAUCCUUGUAAACACAACUGAAAAUCUUGUUAUCUAUGAGAAAACUUGUAAACUUUCUACUUUUAUACUUGUUUUUCUUGAUUUUAAUCCUAACAAUGUAAUAUAAAAUACAUGGUCAUGUUAGGAAAAGAAUAUAAAUUUAUAAUACUUCGUGGAUGUCUACAAAAGUACAAAUAUGUAACAUAGAGUUCAACAAGUAAUAUAGUUCUUAUUUUAGAAAUUGAUUUCAACCAAUUACAUAGACAGAACUCGAGGUGAAAAAAUUUGAUGGAUAAAGACUUUCAAGCUCUCAAAUAAAUAUUGAUGCGCAUUCACCAAUUCUAUGAAACAAAAGUAACAAAAAAUUAAAACUAUCAACCUCAAUUGAUGUUUAAAAACUAGGCAUAAAAUACAGAGGAAUUAACCACAACUAGCCAUCAUAAUUCAUAUAAAUAAAACCAGCAACUCAUAAUGAACUUGAGUAAAGCUACAAUGAGGUGACAUAUCGAAAUCAGAAGAAAAAAAAAAGUCAAACAAUUCUCAUUUAAAAAAAGUCUAAAACGGUAGCUUUAGAUUUAUAAAAGCAAACAAAUAUCAUUGUGAAAUUUAUAAGCAUGUCAUCAUGAGUCAAAAAGAAUAAACUCAAUUGAAAAAUAACAUGUCCAAUCAUAUGCCAAUUGCCAGACAGAAAGGGCAAAAUUGCAUGACCCUAAUGCAAUUGCAUUUUCAAAAAGUAGAAACUUGAUAACUUGUAUAACCGGUAACCAAUUUUUUUAAAAAUCUGGAAGAAUCAUAUAGGAAAAAUGGUGCAUGGGUGCACCUGGUGCACUAUAGAAGGUGCCUACUUCACAUGCCCAAACUACUCAUCCAACGAUCAUAAGAAGUGGCGCAUCCAUGCGCCAAGUGCACUGUAGAAUUUUCCCUAUAAAUAAGUCUUGUCUGGUUUUGUCCAAAAUUCAAUCUUUUAGAUUUCUUUUGAAUAUUUUAUCAUUCUCCGCAGGGGCGGAGCCACACUAGGACCAGUGUGGUUCCCGUCCCCCCCUCAAGUUUUUUAAUUUUUAAAAAGUAAUAUACUGUUAUGUAUUUCUACAUGUAUAUUAUUUCAAAUACUUUACACUUUGAUAUGUAUCCUUGUGGUGGACCUAUUAAGGCACAAGGAGGUGCUUCAAAUUGCCCCUUUGCUCAGCUGGUGGUGGUGCACUACAGGUGUACAGAUUACCUUAUUUCCAUUUUCAAUAUUUAAGUAAAUGUCUUUGUCCUUUUACUUUCAUUUAUUUUUAUAUUACUUCAUUUACUUAAGUUUACAAUGUAAAUAAGGAAGUACCCCCUAUUUGGAUUCAAAUAAAUAUACUAGAAAAUCAAAUUCCCACCAAAUCAAAAUAUGAAAAAUCGGUUUUAGUGCAAAAUACGAUUUAGGCUAAAAAUGAUGGCUCAUUUAGUCAAUAUAUAUUUCAUACUAAAAUCUCAUAAAAUCAAGUUUUCUUAUUUGAUGUGUAAGGAAUAAAAGCCGCCAAAAAUUAUAUUGAGAAAAUGAUUAUUUCGAAAAACCAUUUUUCAUACUUAUUCAAUAUUUUUACAUAAAACAUUUUUUCAUGUAUGAUAUGAAUGCAUGAAGGGACCUAAAGUUUUUUUUUAGUUUGUGAAAUUUUGAUUUUUUUUCUUUCUAUUGGGUUUAAUGGGGGAAAAAGCUUUAAAAAUAUUUGCUAAAUUGCUACUCUUUGUCUAUCUCUUACAAUUUUUCUUGCUUAGAAUGUGUUUGUCUAUCGACAAUUAUGAUUGCAACCAAUAAGCAAUAUAAUUCUUGAGAUAUGUGAUAUAUAUCUAUAUAUAUACUAUUUUUCGUAUGUAUUGUGAGUUUGAAUUUUUUAUUCUUUAUCAUUUGUAAGAGGCCCCCACACACAUAAAAUCCUGACUUCGCCACUAAUUCUCCACAUGCCUUUUGCUAUAUCAGUCCCGAUCUCUUGGACCACAGGAGUCCAAGAGAUUGUGGUCACCCACCGUUGGAUAUUAAUUCAAUGGUUGAAAAAAGUUUUUUAAAAUGAGUGCAAGAGUGAGUGAACCGUUGAAUUUACAUCCAACGGUGAGUGACCACAAAUUUCUUGGACCCCUGUAAUCCAAGAAAUCAGAACUGUUUGCUAUAUAUAUAUAUAUAUAUAUANNNNNNNNNNNNNNNNNNNNNNNNNNNNNNNNNNNNNNNNNNNNNNNNNNNNNNNNNNNNNNNNNNNNNNNNNNNNNNNNNNNNNNNNNNNNNNNNNNNNUUUUUCAUAUCACAGUCAUGGUUGAAUAACAAAUAACCAUGUCCUUACCAUAUAUAUAUAUAUAUAUACAGUCCCGAUCUCUUGGACCACAGGAGUCCAAGAGAUUUGUGGUCACUCACCGUUGGAUGUAAAUUCAACGGUUCACUCAAUCUUGAACUCCUUUUAAGAAACUUUUUUGAACCAUUAGAUUAAUAUCCAACAGUGAGUGACCACAAUCUCUUGGACUCAUGUGAUCCAAGAGAUCGGGACUGUAUAUAUAUAUAUAUAUAUAGUAAGGACAUGGUUAUUUGUUAUUCAACCAUGACUGUGAUAUGAACACGUGAAUUAUUGAGAGCGUAUAGCAUUAGCAUUACGCUUGAUAUUGUUAGAAACCAAGGCCGCUAUCACUAAAUUGAGAGAGUUAGGCCACAGAGCCCAUCAAACCAAACCAACUACAUAUUUCUUUCCCAGAAGUAAGCAAAUUUGACGGUCAGAUGAGCCCCUUAUUUUGACUUUGAUGAUAACAAAAAGGGUCAUCUCCUCCAACCACACCCACUCUUAACACUCUCACUGCAACUCUCUGUUCUCAAUGACUAUUGCUUGUAUUCAAUCUCUUUGUAAAGCCCCCACCUUUCUUCUCCCUUCAACUUUUCUGGGUUCCUCUUAUUUCUUGCAGAGUCCACAAGCAAACCCAUUUUCAAGAAACAGAGACUCCAAGUAUUACAUAGACAGAACGAUUGACAAUAAAAAAACAAGAGGUGGGAUUGUCUGUGGGGUGCUUUUCCCAGUUGAUCCAUGGGCACCCAGCAUUGAUUCACAGAGCAUAGCUUCACAGCUCUUUGCAGCCUCCUUGUUUCCCUACCUUGGUUUCUUGUACUUCAUCACCAAAUCAAAGUCUGCCCCAAAGCUCACCCUUUUUGGGUUCUACUUCUUGCUAGCUUUUGUGGGGGCCACCAGUGAGUUUUUCCAUUUCUUUUCAUUCUAUUACCUUUCUACUUUUUUAUGCUCUCUUCUCUUGGGUUUUGGGUAUCCCUUUAGAUUGCCUUAAUUUAGCAUUGUUAAGCUCUUCAAGUGGUUGCAAAUUGAUAUGUAAACCACAGACUCCUUCUACAUUACAUUCUAUUAAUUUAUUACAUAUGGCCAACACAUGGGGCAUAAAAGGAAGAUGGAAGUGGACCUAGUCAAGGACCUGAACUUAUGCAUGUCUUAUGCUUUUGUACCAUUUGUCGACAGUGAUUAUUGUUUUAUCAUAUUUCUUUUCUUUGGGCGGCUGGAAGAUUUGUUUAUAUAGCUUUGUGAUAGGCUUCUAGUGUGUUUGAAAUCCAAAAGACAAUGCUUGUUGUGGGUCUGUCAUAGUUCAAUUCAAUGGCCCCUGCAAAUAUUCACUCUAGUUUUGUAAAAAUGUUACAUGAUUGUUUUGUUUCUUAUUGAAAUUGGGUUGGUAUUGUAAAUUGUUUACUGUCAACUGCUGUGUUUGAACUCUAUUAACAUCCUUAUUUUUGUUCGUUGCUUUCCUCUCGUCUACUGAGCAGUCCCUGCUGGAAUUUAUGGUAAGUUUUCACUGUUUGAGAAUGUUGUACACUUCAUAUCAGUUCAUGAACUGAUGCCUUAUGGUACUCUGGUUAUUUGGCUGAACAGCAAAGGUGAAAUAUGGCACUUCAUUGGCGAAUGUCGAUUGGUUACAUGGUGAGGCUGAGGCACUUCUCACUCUAACCAACAUAUUCAUUGUGUUGGGGUUGAGAAGAGCCCUCAGAAAAGCUGAAGAUGCAAAAGCAAGAACAUCAACUCCUAUAUCAGGGUUGAAGGAGGAGAAGAAAACUUCUGUUUAGGUGCAGCAGACAGAUUUUGCUCUGGGUUCUUUCUUAACGCGUUUUAUUUCCAUGUUAGAUUUGAAGUCUUUAACUCUUUUUCUUCUGCUUUGUUACAAACCACUAUUGCCUAUGCCUAAUAUCUCUGCAGUCAUGUUUUCCCCUGUUCCCUUGAGAAGCCAUAGUCUCUCAUUUACUGUAUGUAAAGUCGCAACAUUUCUGUUGUUUUUUUAGCUGAGUCUUGAAAUGUUGGGUAAUUGUCCAAUCUAGAAUCGUAUAUACUGUUUAUAUUCCUUUUUUAUAUCUCUGUGUUUCUGUUAUGUGUUAUUUAAACAAGAACAUGACCUCCCGGUUCGAGUCUAUAAGUUUGUUUAUUUAUUGAGAGCAAUGUUGUAGGAUCUUCACUUAUCCUAUUUGGUUAUAAGAUGUGUUUGUAUGGAACUUCUGCUUUAUUCUGAACAAAUAUGGGCUUCAAUUGGAGUUAAAAGGAAAAAAUAUUAUUUGAAAACUAUAAUAUAAUCAAUUCUAUCCGUCGGCUAACAUCAGAAAAAGCUCUUAUCUUUUACUAGCAUUCCUCCUAUCUUAUAAUACAUGGUUGAUUCAAGGUGUGAAACAAGCUAGUAGCAACCUGGAUGCUACUUAUUCUUUUUCUCAAACUCAAGUAGAAUUAUGAGAAAAUUCCUGUGGUGUCAAAUGGGAAAUUGGGCUCAAUUUCCACUGGCUCCAGUGGAAAAUCCAUCUCUGGAAUUGGAGAAUUGGUUGACGAAUUGUUGGCUGAGAUGAUCUCAGUAAGACCACAUUCUGAAAGUUGCUCGUUUCCUGCAAUGUUUCUCAUCUGGCUUGGUGGCAUCAAAUAGUAGUUUGAUUCGCCUGCGGCUGGAGAUAGCAAUGAAUGAUUGAAGUUGUCAAAGAAAGUGUUGUUAUCAUCAAGCAUUGAAGAUAGAAAGGCAUCAUCAGGCAUCAUACAUCCAAAUGAAGUUGAAGUGAAAGAGAAUGGAGAUGCCAUGUUCUCUCUGUCUUCCAAGAACUUGGUAUCAACUCUCAGAUUAGUCGGAAAGCUCAUUUGGAUUCCUUGAGACUGCUGUUGGUGAGAAGUAUUAUUUUGCUUGUUUCGUUUUUGUUCUUGCUGUUCUGGUGAUGGUGGUGGUAGAACUGAAUUGCUACCAUGAGAACAUGUAUGCUUUCCUUUGUAUGUGAUUUCGAAUAUCGUGGGGUCUUCAUCUGAUCUUUGCACUUGCUUUGUAGCAUAACAGCUUUGCGUGUUUCGGUAGGUGCAUCUGUAAUAGCUUCUGCAAAUUUAAACAAAAUUGGUCAUCAGAAUGUUCAUAACAAAGUGAUAUUUCUAUGAUGCAGAAGACUGCUAUAUUUCCCGUUUGUGGGUCAACCUCAAAAGACAAAGCUUUGUGCGCGUGCGUGUAAAAGGUAAAGUAUUAUAUGUUGCUUUUUGAAAUGUGGCAUCGGUGACUGUUACUGCAAAUGAUUGCAUGGUUGAAUGGAUUCGCUUAUAGGAUUUUACAACAGGAUAAGAUUAAGUAAAAAGGCACUUUAGUUACCUUGGAUGUUUGGCUCCAAGGAUGUCCUUCUGUCCAUAUUUUCUCCAGCUAUGGCCAUCUUCAUGAGGUCCUUCAAUCCCAUUCUCAGAGCUAACUCUCAUUACAUGGUCUGUCCAUUUGGCCAUGAUCUUUCUGCAAUAUGCAAAAUCAAAUUAGCAUUUGAUUUCUUGGCAUCAUAUUCUCUACAUUUAUGACUUAAUGAAUAGUAUAAGCUCACCUCUUCUUGGAGACAUCUGUGAGGUCCUGAUGAUCCUUGGGACUCUUGUUAUAGUCAUCAAAACAAGGACCUGCGUAAGCCGACACAAGAGACUCCGGCACACUGGCUAUUGCACCCGCAGUACUUUGAGCCGGCCCACUGAAGUUCAGUAUCAAAAGGGCUUUCUCAUAGGAGGACAAUAUCCUCUGCACUAAAAAUUGUCUGGUGUCUGAUGAAGAUGCUGCACUUAGACUUAGCCUCAACUGUUUUGCUAGUUCCAUCCCUUCAAUGAUCUCAGUUAGCAGUGACUUGUGCUCCCAGCUCUUACUAGAAUCCAUUUCUUCAAUUCUAUGUAUCUAUUUCUAUAUCGCAAUUGGAACUGUGAGCAAUAUAAGAUGCAGAGCUUUAGUGCUACUUCACGUCCGACAGAAGAACAUGCAUUGCCUGCAUCAGCACACCUUCACCACAUUGGCUAUGUAUGAUUGGUUAUCAAGGAGCAAAAUCCUCCCACUUAAAUCCCAGAAAGAGUAGAAGCGAACGGGAUUUGGAAGUUCCAAUUUGUUUCAAGUAAGAAGCUGUACACAUGGAAUUAGUAUCCAGAAUUUUGAAGAUUCUCUAAAUUGUGUGUGCAGAAAGAGAAGAAAGUAGAGUAGUGAAGCUGCGUAAGCCAAGAGAGUGAGAGACUUGGAUUUAAAGGAGAAAGUGGAGAUGCUAUAUAUAUACAUGUAGAGGUGACCAAUUUGAAUGGAGAAGAAAAUUAAGUGGAGAUUGGGGAGUAGAAAGUUGAAGUUUGACUGAGAAACCGAGUUAUUCAGCUCUGACUGGUCUUUGGUCAUGCAUAUAGAAAAAAAAAAAUCUACGCUGACCAUUUCCACAUCUUCUAAUUCUCUGAAUCUUUAACUUGUAAAAAGGGUCCCUCUCUCUCUCUCUCUCACAGAUGGCAACAGGGGCGGAUUGAGGCCGAAUAUGUCAUUACCAUCUCAGGGACCCAGAUAAAUGGGUUUGAUAAUUAUUUUAUUUAAGUUUUUUCCUUAAUAAAAUUAUUAAAAAUUAUAAUUUAGUACGUCUGUCUGUCGGGGGAAAAUUGUCGUCCCUACCCUCUCUCUGAUUUGUAGUUGGUGGGAUUUUUUUAUAUAUUUUUAUUUUGGAUUGCAUGAUUGAGAUUUAGAAAGGUGCUUACUAGGAAUUUUCGAACCAUAUUCCGCGUUAUUAUUUGGUAAAAUGUCGUCGCUCCCACUUCUCCCAGUAGUAGAGUAGAGUAUUGAAAUUGAAUCAAAGAGUGCAUGACGUGGCCCACAUAGUUAGAUUCCUUUUUUUUUUUUUUUUUUUUUUUGUUGCUUGGUUAUCUAGAACAUCGUCUUUCAUAUUAGAUGUCUUCUCUGCAGCCGCGUUUUUGUGGAAGAAAAAACAGAAGUGAAAAACUAUUUGGUAUUUGUUUAAUAAUUAAUUGGUCAAAAGGUCUUGAAGAACUUGGACAAUCUUACGGCCUCAAUCUGAAUUUGGAUCCCUUUGACGGGGUUAUUGGCCAUGAUUCUUAUGGUCGUUGUAUCCUUUGUUUACUAUACCUAAAAACUACGUAUUACAUAGACACUUGCGUAUCAAAAAUUAGAAAUGCAUUAUAAAUAGGGUGAAUUCAAUACAUCGCGCUAAGAUGUCAUGCGAUAUAUCAAAUAUAUGUGGUCGGUUUUGAGAUGUGACAAUAUAUCAGCUUCAAAAUGAUUAUAUACAAGUUUCAAAUAAAAUUAUUUCAAUGAUUCGUCAAUAGAAUAAGACUAUAUAUAUAUAAUGGUAAUUUAAUUACAAUGUCCAUGAUAUUCGUUUGUUGCUUGGAAUGCCUGGUGCAACUGACCCAAAUUCAUCAGUUUUGUUAGUUGGCUUGAUGAUAAGUUAUCAUCAUUACUCCAUUUGACUUCUUGGUUUUUCUAAUUUAAUUUCGUCAACUUUAAAACAAGCGCGUGUAUUCAUUUGAGUCGAACAUUUAUUAUAAAUAUACGGUAAUACUAAAAAUAUUAGAAUCCAGAUUUGCGAAUCUCUUGUUGGAAGUUUUGUCAAGUUGAGUGGAAAAAAUCGAUUGAUUAUUAUUUCAACUUAAACAGGCAAUUGCAAGUUGUUUGUGUGUGGGUACAAAAAUUUAACAAUUGAAAUUGACGUCCAAGCUACCUCUAUGUCGGGGAGAUAUAUAUAGUCCCAUUUCAUCGGGGAAUUCCAUAAAUAAUUUUAUUUGAAUUAUACUCUUAGGGUAUCCUAUGAAUUUUUUUCCAACAAUCCAAAUCAUCAAUUUUUUUAAGUCUACAUUCAUAGAUCAUUCUUGCAAAAAAUUAGACAAAUCAGAAACCAUUUCGAUAUCCAAUUGUAUCCUACAAAAUCAAUUAACACAGUGCUUCAAGAAAGUACUAAAAUUUUAAUAACACAAUUGAGUGGUCAAACAAAAUUGAAUUCCAAUGAUUUUUAAUAGGGAUGAUCUUUGAAUGAUUAUCUAAAACAUAGACUGUUUAAAUUAGUGAAAUACAAUGCGAAGUGAGCCUUACAAAUGUGUCAUUCAAAUAAGCUAAUUUGAGGGAUCUCUCGAUGGAAGCUUUACAUAUACAUCACAUAUUGUAUAACCCAAGCUAACCUAUGAGAGACUGAGUCGUCCCAGAUCCCCAUCCGGCGAAAGCCACAUGGGAUUUAGUCCCAGCUGGACCAAUGACAGCUACGUUAGCCUCCACACAAUCCAUACACUACGAUUAUAUAUAUAUAUAUAUAUAUAUAUAUAUAUAUAUACGACAUGUUGCUUUGUUUGAGUUCUGUCGUAGGCUUUUCUCAAAAACAUAUACUAUAUUUUUGUGGCAAUGAUCGUACCUUUAUAGGCUUUUUCCAACUUCACUUUCAUAGGUAAGUGUUUUUUUUUUUUCUUUCUUAAAAGACCUUUUUUAUUGAGAAAGACGAUAAUAUAUUAAAGAGAUAUUUAGUGAUAUACUUAUUCUUAGCACUAAUAUUAUAGAUAAAUCUUACACCAUUGAAUUUUUAUAAACAAGCUUAAAAAAAAAAAUCAAAAAUUGACAGCUGGCCUUAUUGAAUUUAAUAUUUAUUAUUAAAUUACUUUGAUGUCAUAUUGAGUGUUUUGGGUAUUUUUAUGAGAUUUUGGGGUUGGACUUAUUUUAAGAAAUUGAUGACAGUUUUGUAAUUUAUUAGAAGUUAAAAACCUCUUUGUUAUGUUGUAAAUGAGUUUUGAAUGUGUUUUGGGUAUAAUAGUAAAUCUCCCUAUAUUAAACUCACACACUAUACAAACUCAAACCCAGAACAUUUCUUACUAGUGAAUCCUUUGCAAGGUAGGUUAGAUUUAGUUUUAUAUUGAAAUCAUGUAUUUGUUAACCAAUUGAAAUAUACUCAAUGGUGCAUACGUGUCGCGACACAUAGCUAUUAUCAGACCAAAAAGUGGCUUUGCCCUCUACGAACUCAGUUAUAAUAAAAAGCUGUGAACCUAUAAAGAUGUGCUCAAGAUAUUUGAUCCAAAUGAUGUUUUUUUAUAAUCAAAAUACAUGACAAACCGCUUUAGCAUUUCUCUAUAUUAAAUAUUAUAUUGUACGAGGACGGAGGAAAGUAUAGGAGCAUCACUUUGACGUGAACAUUUACGAUUAAAAAUUAGUUUGGAACUUAUUCAGUGGCUGAGGUGGAUAAAGAAAAGCCAUAACAAAUUUUUUUUUUUCCUGCUCAAGGAAUAAAUAAAGGUUUGCAUAUAUAUGAUAUUUUCAAUUUUGCACGUCAUAAUGUAAAAGCAGAUUCCAAGAUUGAUAAAUAUGUAAAAACAAAAGAAAAAAGGAACCCCACUGACCACUUGAUCGCCUAUAUAAGAGAUCUAACCAAACAGCCUUCCACCACCAAGAGAGCUCAAGAACACUUAGCUACUAAAAAACCAAAACCCUUUUUCAAUCUCCUUUGUGAGUUAACUAAAAUGGCCUCAACGCAACGCCACAACAAGCCAGCAGCCAAGGAGGGCUCAUUGGGCCAUAAGGUUUCUGAGAUUGCUGGCUUUCUGAAAGGAGGUCACCAUGGAGAACACAACAGCAGCAGCAGCCACACUACUAGCACCCAAUAUGUCUUAGCCACCCCAGCAACUAAUGGGCAGCAUGGGCUGAACCAGCACCAUGCAACUGGAACCAAGAAGAGGGGUGAGCGCAAGAACAACAAGACAGGUGGCAGCCGAAAUCUCCUUCAGAAGAUCAAGGAUGGAAUUUCUGGCCAUAGCAGCAGCAGCAGCAGCAGCAGCAGCGACAGUGAAAAUGAAGGCUACCAAAAGAAGGCAAGUGAUUUAAGUGUAUAUCAAUAACAUAUGGAAAUAAUGCAAAACUAACUAUCUAACUGUGGGUUUAAAGAUGUUUAUAUUGUCAGACAGUGAAUAUCUUAGAUAUUCGUGGAUGUUCUUGAUGCCUGUUAAUGAUGUGUUUAUAAUGUACAUUUGUGUGGAUUUUGCAGAACUAAAUGGAACAGAUGUGGGAGAUCAGCAUCAACUAAAUAUCAGGGACAGGGGAAGGAAGAUGUGCCUCAUCAUCACUAUAUAUGAUAACUCAAGUACAAGUAUAUACCAAGUGUAAAAUACAAUAAUGGCCUUCCUGGCUUCUGAUCUCUCACCACUUGGUUAUCUAUAUAUGAUACAAGUGAAAAUAUAUAUAUGUAUAUGUCUCUGUCUCUGGCUCUCAAAAUAAAGUUAUUUUCGUGCGAUAUAUAAUAUAUUAAUGCUUCAUCCAAUAAACAUUCCCGAAAUUGAUGUGGCUCGGUGGAAAACAACACGAGAACGAAUGACAGAAGAAUGUAUGCACUCCAAACAUAUCGUCUUUGCAAUAAUAUACGCCAUGUCAUGUGAUAGAUUUUUGCCAUUAAUAACUUGAAACAAAUGAAAUGUUUGGAUCAAUCACAAGUUACCGACAUCAUGCAGGCACAUGGCAGUCAUUGAUUGGUGUAGGUCCCCAAGGUAGCUAGGUUUCUCACCAAAUCAGGCCAUUCGAAGAGGAAGUCACAUCUCAUCACAAUGAAGUUAAGGGUGGAUGGUGAGAAUAAUAAUUAAGUUACAUAUACUGAAUUUAUAAUACCUUGGAAAUUCAUGGUACUUUAACGAUUAUGGAUUAAAUAUCGAUAAUGUAUCAAGCACUGUAACGUACAUGAGUAGUCAUGUUGUUUUAUAAGAGCUAAAAAACUAUCUUACAAAACAUUCCGCUCUAGCUCACUGCUUUUGAGCACCAAGCAACCACAACAAAGCUUAAGAAAAACUAGAUGCAAGUAAUUGAGAAAGUAAUUGUUGGGUUAAACUCCAAUGGCAGAAACUUUUCAUGCGAGUACUUUUCGUAACGGAUAGGUCAAAAUUCAACAGCAGAUACAAAAUAAGCUAAAUAAAUCAGAUGAUGAAAGUAUAUAUAAGAGAGAGAGAGAGAGAGAGAGAGAGAGAGAGAGAGAGAGAGAGAGAGAGAGAGAGAGAGAGAAGGAUGAAGAGAGAAUUCAAUAUUUUUUGAAAAGGAAAUAUGAGAUGGCAUCAUGAAAUCUUAAUUCUUGAUGUAUAAAUCACGUUGUGAUAACUUAUAUGUCCUAAUUGGAGCUUGUAGCUCAAGUAGUUGAUAAUGUCUAUUUCAAAACAAGGUCAAAGUUCGAAUCAUGCCUCAUUUAUUCUUCCUGUAAUUUUUUUAUUUAUACAAGCAAUAGUCUAAACUAUAAGGUGGAGCAAGGGCGGAGCUAGGAUUUUAUAUUUGAGGGGGCCAAAAUGUUAAACACAAAAAGUUUAGUUUCAUAUUUUUUUUUGCCUAUUGAGUAAACUAUUGCUUACAAAAGCACUAAAUUGAAAUGAUUGGUUUUCUUUCAUAAAUGUAGUAUGAUUUUACUACUAUAUUCAUAUUAAAAUACAAUUUUGACAAGUAUUGAUUUGUGGUGAGGGGGCCAUAGGCUUAAGUAUAGCAAUUUUUCUUUGCAUUUGUUACCACAUCCAAUAUAUACAUUCAAAAGGGUUAAAUAAAUUGGAGGGGCCAGGGCCAUCCCAGGCCUUAGUACAGCUCCGCCCCUGGGUGGAGGGGAGUUUCACACACACACACUACUAAGGUGCUAUAGGGAUUCGAACUAGAGACCACUGAUCUGCAGCUCAAGGCCCUCUUCUACUAGACUAGACCCCAAUAGCAUCCUCCUUGUUAUUUUUUUUAUAAAAAAGAAAAGAAAAACUGAGAUGCCCUUGUUAUGAAAAAUGACCCAAAAAAGAAGUUAAUAAUUAGAUAAACGAAUCUCCAUGGUGGAAAAAAGAAAACAAGAAGAAAAAAAAUGGAGACAAGUAAAGCCGAAUCUAAUUUAUCUUGUCCCUUGUAUUGAUGUAUCGAAGGACUGUACAUCCGGGAAUUUCAAAAGAGGGUAUGGGACCAUCGGUAACGUGUUGCAUUUUCACUCUGAUCAAAUUCCAAUCUCCACUUAUUCCUUUUCCUUUUGUUUUUGGAAAUAAAAUAUACGCGUUUUCUUUUCUACAUGAUCCAUUUGUCACACAAAUAUCAUUAUUUUUGGUUAAAACUAUGCUACCGGCAAUUGCGCAUAGAAAGAUGGUGCAGAAGUAGUAAAGCUAAUAACUCUUCAGCAAAUAAUAGACAGAUAAACCAAUAGCAUAAUGAAGUUGCAGAUUGAUAGUACAAAAACAGCAUGAGCAGUUCACAUCACAAAACACAGCAAGCAGUUUAUGGCACAAAAACAGCAUGAGAACAGAAUCCAUAGACAACAUGAUACAACCCUUGAUUUACAUGGAAACUUUUCUUUGCAAUAUAAAGUGUCACCUUUCUCCAAGAGACCCUGACAAAAAGGAUGCUAGGGCCUGAAGAGCAAGAUCUUCAGCUUCGUCUUGCGUUAACCCAGUGGUUUGCAGAUGCUUCUUUCCAAUCUUGAAGGAGUGGUCACCACCAUCAAUCACAUGCAAACCACUAGGGCAUUUCAUCUUCUUGCGUGUAACUUCUAGCUUUUCCAAUGGACAGAGCGCAUCUUUACUACCCUUCAUGAAACAUAAUUGUAGCAAACAACAAGACACUUGUUAGAGAUAGAAAACUUAAGAAAGGCAUUGUUAUCUAACUGUAAAAGGAACUUUCAUUCAGCAAGGAUAAUAUAUAGAAAGAAAAUGAAAAUCUCAGUUUGGUCAUUCUAUAAGAAUUGGUACGAGAGAGCUGAAGAAUUAUAAAUCCAAAACAUUAAACCAAAUAUUUUAUAUUGAAUCUAUACAGUGCAGUAGUUUGCAAUUGAUGACCAGGAGGCACUACGAAAAAUAAAAAGAAAACUUGAUUCUAGAGAAAAAGAAAUACCUGUACUAGCAUUAUGGGAACAGAAAGUUGCAAAAGUAUUUCAUCUCGCACUGCUCCAUUAAUUCCCUGAAAUUUAAGAUACCCAGAUCAGACACAAUCGGUGGCAUAUUUAUGUAGUUCGGAGAAGUGCAAAGGGGAAAGGGAACACUUGUAGGUCACAACAUCAAUUGCUAAGGUUCCAAUGAAUGCAGAAUUUCUUCUUCAAAGAAUACAGAUAAUUUUGUCUCAACUAUUUUCACCUUCUAGUUUGUGUUAUUGAAGAUUUACUGCACGAUGAUUUCAUGCCAAUAACCCAAAAGAAAGAAGGAAAAAACAAAAGCAACAACAAAAUAAAGUACAUAAUGUGCACAAAUGAGAUGUGGGGAUAACAGCAGAACUCAGACCUUUAGCGGGUAUCCUAAGCAAAGUAUUGCUGAAGCACGAAUGCCUUCCUUGCAAGCUACCAUACAGCUGACCCUAAAGACAAAUGAAAUCCAAAAAUCAUAAAAAGAAAGCACAAAUGAUAAGUAGCAAAGAAAUUCAUUAUCAUUAACAUGUUAGAGUACUAAAAUGAAAUUCAAAUUUAAACAUAAACAAGGGAAACACAGCAGAGCUUCAUGAAUUGUCCAUAUUUCUAGAGUUGAGCACUGCAGCCAAUAUAAGAUGCAUACACUACACAACUGUUCACCCAAAAUAAAGCUCUGCAGAGAUCAAUAUACAUCUUUCAAAAGGGUAUCUCCAGCAUUACUUGAUUGCAUAGAGACUACCUUCUACUAAUAGAAUUUUAGGCUACAUCAAGUAAUCUUCAGUAGAAAGUAGAAGGAUUAUAACCUUGAACCCAUAGAUUUCCCGGCCAAAAUCAACGGAUGACCCGGGUAUUUAGCAACAGCCUUUCCGACAACAUCGGCGUGAAAGUCGACCAACUUUUCAGCCUUCGGAGGGGCCCUCCUUUUCCCACCCGAAAUGUCUGCCAAGCAUCAAACUUUAAGAUUAUACAAAAGAGAUAACAAACUCCAUGUAUAACCCAAAGCACCAUAUGUACCCAGUAAACCGAGAUUUUAGCAAAAUACAAAUGAACUUACAUGGGUAAUCAAAGGUAACAACUUCAACAGCAUGUAGUGCUUUUCCCAACAUAUCCUUCCACCUAAAUAAAACUCAAAGCUUCAAGCUUUUUACUUCAACAUUUCUUUUCCACUAUUUCAAAAAAGAAAGAGAAGAGAGACCUGAUCAUCCAGUCAGAAGAAGAGGGAGCACCAGCACCAUGAGCAAAGACCACCACAGGGGAUAAUUUCUCCAGUGUGGAUGAAGAUGUUGCUGACAUGUCGUUUGCAUCGUCUUUGCUCUGGUCCUUACGCCUGCGUUUUGAAGGGGGUGAUGAAGCCAUUCCCAGUCAAAGAACCCUUUGAAAUGAUUCCCAAUUUUCAACCUGAUCGAAACCCUAGAUAUCAGCCCUGAACUGAUUUUCGCGCCAAAUGUUAGGAAAGACGAAGACCCAACUAAAAGAAUGUGCUGCGCGCCACUCGGCGUCUCCUUACAUACGGGUUGGGUUUUUCAAUCAAUACAUUGGAUUGGGUUUAGGCUGAGCAAGGCCCAAUUUGGUUCAAUCCUGAAAUUAUCUAUUUUUAUAAUGCAAUAUUUUAAUUCUUUGAUUUACGGGAAGGGGAUUCAAACCCCGUGCAAGGGUUACAUUACCUAGACUAAUUGAGCUAACUCACAUCUACAUAGCCUGAAAUAUCAAAACUAUUCUUUACGGUUUGCUCUUUUUAUAUUCUUUUUAAUUCCUCGAUCAAUAUAUAUGAGGAGCAAAUUUCAAAAUCUUUUUCAAGUAUUAUAUAUAUUGAUUAAAUCAUUUACGCAUUUAGAAGCUCCUCAAACACAAGCAAUGGUACUCUGUUUGGUGUGAGGCGAUAAUGAGGAUUUACAAUGAGGAAUUCUUAAUAGCCGUUUGAUUAAUGAAAAUGUUAUUAUUAAACACUAAAUUGGAUCCUUCAACACAGCCCCUCAACAUAGACCCUAGUUAUAGAAGCUCCCGUGAGUUUUGACAAUCUCAAAAAUUGUCUCAAAAGUUGCCUUAAAACCCAAUUUGCAAAAUUGAGAAGUUCCAUGAAGAAUCAAGUGUGCAGCGUAGCUCAAGUUCGCAUGCCCCAUCACGGCCCAAUAUCCUUGAAAAAGAAGCAAGGAUCCCAAUUUUUGGUGGGACAGAGGGGCAUAAAAACCCAGAAAAAGACAAAAACAACUAAACAGUAUUAAUCAUAUGGAUCUUAGUAACCCCUAUUGAGUCACCCAUCAACAGAGGCCCAAGCCAAGUUGGAUUUUCCUCAAGAAACCAGCAACCCAGGUCGCUGUUGUGGCUCCAAGCAGCCAAUCUAUCAGCCACUGCAUUCUUCUCUCUGUAAAUGUGUUGAAGUUUACCUCUUGGGAUCUAGCUCAAAAGUCUCUUGCAGCUGCUACCCAAUCCAGUCGUAGGAUGACAGUUGUUCAGCUCAUUACUUAGGAUAAGAUUCACGACUGUGACAGAAUCCAUUUCAACAACAAUAUCCAUUAUGCUUCUUUUAAUAGCUAAUUUUGGAUCAAAAAAUAAUCCCCACAGCUUAGCUUCAAGGAUUUGCCCUUUCCCAAGUUGACAGCGAAUCCACCAAUCUAGUUACCCCAAAUGGUCUCUAAUAACUCCUCCAGCACCAAUGGAACCCGUACUUCUCUGGAGAGAUCCGUCAACGUUUAGCUUUAACACACCAUUCUUGGGGGGUUCCAAGCCAAACUAACCUGGAUUUUACCACCUCCCAACUGAUUAUUUAUAGAGGCUCUGAUCCACUCCUUGGCAGCAGACAGUAUCGGCUUGUUUAGGCCUAAAUUCCGCACGCUAGCCCAUCUAGGUACUGGGAUAUAUCGACGAAAGGGGUUUGGGCCUUGUUUUACAGAAAUUGGAAAUCAGCCCAGGAUAUUUUAGAAGCCCAUACCAUUUCGAACCAAUUCCAGAAUAAAUCUUCACAUGUUAAAGGUUAAUUACCAUUAAGGGUGAUUGAAUAUGAAAAAAGCUAGAUUCAAUUGGUUUAAUUAAAUACCCAGCUUCUGGAUUUUUUUUCCCAAGGGCUCAAGGUUUGAUCAUCACCAUUGAUUACUAAAUUCAAAGAUCAGAUCAGCAGAUAUGGGGGAGGAUUUUUCUUUCCACAAUACCCAUGUGAUCCCAAUGACAAGACGUCAACAGAAGAAAGAGCAGAGGACGUGUUGGGGAGUUGGUAGAAAGGUGAAAUCGGAAAACCACUCCCCAUAACCAUUAAAUGCAAGAAAAGAGGGCCAAGUUUCCUCCAUUUACUCGUGAAGGCCUUAUUAGUACAUACUUGGUUUAAAAGAGACAAAGAAAGAAAUAAGAGAGUUGGUUGUUAGAAAGUUAAAACUGAUCAUCAUGAAAAUGACUCUUGAUGGGGGUUCUUCUUGUCAGAUUAACUACUACCCUUUUUUGCGCUGGAACAGAAAAUCCUCUCAACAAUGUGUCCUCCAGAUAUUAAGGAAUAAUCACUCAUGCAGAUUUCCUACAAAUAUAGGAGGAUUUGAACAGGAUAGAGACAGCAAAAUCCAAUCAAAACAAAAACUCUUAGUCAUACUGACAAAAUCAAGUAAGAUCACAUGAUUCCAAAAGCUUUUAGACUUUGAAGUAACCAAGCUCUUUGGUUUGCAAAAGCCAUCCAGCCUCUGACGAAACAGGCAAAACUCAGACUUCUAACUACAAUUCAGUUCAAAGAAGCAGUUCACAAAAGAAACGAGACUUCUCUCGUUACAAAUUUGGUUCAGAGCAGAUGAAUCAAGUGAAGUUCGGGUUUUUCAUAAUAUGAAAACCUCAACAAAUUUCCAGAGAUAUCUUGAUAUCUCAUAAUUGCCUUUAUAGCUCUUAGAGGAUUCACAGUCAAGCAAAAUAGGUACUAAAGUACAGUCCUAGAUCAGCAAUCGUCAAUCCAGCCACUUCCAGUCCAAUCUAGAUUGAAGAGAUCUCAGUUCUGCCCAUUCAAAAAACCUCUCCAUGGCUAAAUUUGAUUAAAGCUCUGCCAAUCUCAACAUUGGUAUCGAUUUCCAGUUGAACCCCAUCAGUUAAAGAUGCUGAUGUGCAAUUUCAGCACAGGUAUAUCCAAUCUAGCCUAAGUCAUAGACAACAAUCCAAGCAGAAAUCAAAGCCCAAUAUCUUGAUGUCCUUCCGGACUUGGCAGUUCUCUUUUGUUUAAAUUGUGUAAUAGGCAGUUCUCUUUAAAACAGUUUGAUUUAUUUCAAUAUUCAUUUUUGACUAGACUUACUAGUUUUACUGUGAGAAAUAUAAAGUCCUCACCCACUUAGGCAAGAAAAGAACUUACUUGGGAGAUAUUCCUCACCCAAAUUCACAAUCACUUGAUCAAAGUCAAUAGCUUGGGCGAAAGUUAUUAAAUUUUUAUAAGUCUGUUAGGGUUUUUAGCUGCUAACAGUGGCACGCUCGCACACAAAAGAAAAUUAAUUUGUUGAUUACCAAUGGUUUCCAAGUCAAUGAAAAACCUUACCCUACCACCACAGGAACUACAUCAAAAUGGAUAAACACAGCUCUCGCAAACCAUCCUCAUUUUUUAAGGUAAAACCAUUUCUCCAUUUCCAGAUGUGCCAGCAGAUGACACCAAACAGAAUUUUCCAAGGGAUCGGCAGAACUUAUUCUUAGAGCGAAAGUUGCCGAGCAGCCAGGUUAAUAAAUAUGAUAGGUCAUUGUCCACUAUGACAUCUGAUUGAAACAAUGUUCUCUGCCUCUAGUUUCUUGCCACAAUACAUUGCAGUCCAUGGUAUCCAUCUAUCAUCACUAGCUGUAGCACAAAAAGCAUUUUGCCACAUGCUGAAUGCUUUAGAAAACUGUGGCUGAUCAUCCAAUUGAGUUAUGCCAUUGGCUGUGAAGAUAGAAAGCAAAAGCUAAGAUUAUAUUACAAGGUGGGAUGGGAGGAAUGUCAAACAGGAAUUGAAUUUAUAUCUGCAUUGACCUCAAUUGUGAAUAAGAUCAAAGAUAACCUUGAGAGAUGCCCCAUGAGAACCUAAGCUACUUUAAUUUUAUUCUUCUGCUCAAAGAUAAGCCUAAUUGCCUUGCCAAGGUUCUUAAGAGCCAACCCCCUUUUGCUUACGACCACAAAAGCUUCAAGUUGUACAAAUUUGAUUGGUCAGAAAAAUUUGGGAAAUCCACCUUGGAUUGGUGCUUUUGCUUAUCACUACUUUUUAUUUAAUUAAAUUUUUUAAAUGGGAUUAUAGAUAUGUAGACCCCACCAAUAUUGACUAACAGCAAUGUUUAAUUAUCCUUUCGCAAAAAAAAGAAAAGAAAAAAAAGCAAUGUUUAAUUAUCCCCACAUAACCUGGUGCUUCGUUUUUGUCUUUUUGUGGCCUUAAGGGCUCUAUAAAGGGGCUUCUAAGCCAAUGCUUUCUUCAACAAAUAAGAGCAAAGCUAAUGAGCAAGGAGUUGAAUUGAAUCUUUUAACAAGGCAUUGAUUGCUCACUCUCCCUCAAGGGCUUCUCAGCUUAAGGCAAUGAUAUUACACCAAGGUCCUUAGUUUUAAGGGGCACUUUGGUAUGUUUUAGGCUAUGAAGCUCGUUGGGGGGGAAUGACCAAGCUUUUGCCUCAACUUAUAGCAGGGUGUGCAAGGCAUUUUCUACGGAUCAAAAUCCAAGGCAUUUUUGUUGCUCACUCUCCCUCAAAGGCUUCUAGCAAUGUCAGAAAUGGCGAGCUCGAAGCCUUUGGGGAGAGUAAACAAAAAAUGUCUUGAUUUAUAUUAUAUGGCAAACCACAUUUGAUGGUGAGCAUCGGAGCUCAGAGGCUUUUCUUCUUGAUUUGCUUUUUGGAAAGGUGAGUGAUGCUUACUAUUUUCACGUCUAGCUUAGCUAGCUAGCUCAUGUAAUAAUUACUGGAAAUUUAAAAUAUCACACAAACUUUACCUGCAUAUAGAUGCAUGCUCACACACACACACAUAUAUAAUCAACAACAUGCAUGCAUGCACCAUACAUUUGGAGAGAAAAUUUGUACAUUUCAAAUAUUAUAUAUAUAUAUAUAUAUGUUCUUCAUAUUAAGGAAAAAUGUUUGGUUACUAAUGAGUCAUUCUUAAGCUUAGAACAAAUGCUAAAAAAAUUCUUUUUAAUUGAAGAAACGUUGUGAUGAACUUGAUAAUUAAGAUUUAUCUAACAAUUUAACUCAAGUUAUAUUCAUCAUGAGACAUUUAUAACGCGUGUAUAAUUAUUAAUAUAUAAAAGCACUAUUAAACUCAAAAAUAUUAGUGAACCUAUGUAUAUCGUGUACGGUAAUAAUUUGUGUGUAACACCAUAUCAAUAUGCAAGGUAGUUUUGCCGCAGCACAGUAAUUUUUCCUUUCAAAGAUACGAGUCCAGACUCCAAAUAGAGUGUUGAGAAGGGGAGGGGUGGGGGUAGAGUUGCCCUUUCGUUACAUCCAGGUUUCCCGCUGCAUGUAUAAUAUGGCUCUUUCAUGAGUUGACUGGUCCUUGAUGCAUAUAAAAUAAGGAAUCUUUUCAUUACAGGAAAAACAAAACUUUUUUCAAAUUGCAUCGCUAAUCUCUAAUGCAACAUGAUAACUUAUUGGAUGUGAACAAACAAUUCAAUUUCCACAGCUGCCUCUCAAGAAGAGAGAAUCGGAAAACCAGCUUUUUCUUUGGGUAAUUAGAAGAAACCAACAUGGCUGCUUGAUUAGUACUACUAAUAUUUGCUUAAGGAGAAAACAAGUAGAAACAUUAUUUUUAUAAUAUUGAAGGUCGGCUAAGGCUACUUACAUGUACAAAUAAAUCACAAUCUGAUACAUAAACUAAAAACACACACACAAAUUAUGCGCUUGUAAUUUGUUCGGAAGAAAAAAUGGCGAGUAUUUUUCACACGUGAAUUAUAUCUGACGAGUCAGAGUGAAGUGAAGACUGAAGUGGUUGUACAAACACUGAUAAGCAGAAGUGCACAUGGAAAAAUGUCAGGUAUCUCUCAAACCUUGUUGAAAAAUGGAAGUUACAACCAUCUCUGCCCUGCUUCCUUUAUAACCUUAACUAGAUAAAGUAGCUGCUACUGCUGCUAGUCCCCUCCACUGUGCCCAGGGCCACCACUUUCCCUCCCUCCCUCCCUCCCUCCUCAAAUUAUAGGGGGACAGGAAUCUCUCUCUCUCUCUCUCUCUUUUUCCUCUGUUUGGUAUUCAAAAUUCUUCUUUUUCUUUCAUGUGACUUGUGAGCCUAAUAUAUGAACAACAUUUUUAAAAAAAAUGUAUGUAAAAAACAUGAACUUGUUUGGAUUAAAUGAUAUUAAUUUUAUGGAUUUACAUCUCAAACUUUUUCUGGAUAUCAAAAGCCAUAUAACUCUGACUGGAUGAAAUGCCAGAAACCAAUGAUUCAGAGAGAGAGAGAGAGAGAGAGAGAGAGAGAGAGAGAGAGAGAGAGAGAGAGAGAGAGAGAGGGAGAGAGGGAGGGAGGAUCCAAGGAUGAUUAUUUAUAAUAGCAUCCCUAAAUUGGUCGAGUUCACAUAUUUUCCUAGAUUUUACCAGCACUUAAUCUUGAAGUUAACCCUAAUCACACCCAAAUUAACCUACAGCCAUAGAACUAAUCCCUCGUACGAACCUCUUCUGAUCUGCUGUCUGCUACAUUAAGCAAGCUCUUGAUUUUUCUCCACAAGUCUCACUUCUUUUGCAGAUCUAAGAACACUGGCCUGACAAAAAGAAAAGAAAGAGCUUAAUUAAUCAGUUUUAAAUUAACAAUGAUGCAUUAUUAUAUGAAUCACACACCUGGUCAUCAGUAAUUUCCACAGCAAACCCAUCAACGAUGACCAGAGACAAUGUCUUCUUGUAGCUUCCUGGCUCAAGGGUUCUUGCCAACAACUGGUCAUGCUUCCGGCUUAGAUACAAAUCAAGCUCAUUUGUCCCUCUCUUUGUUCUAUGUAUAAAUAAGCAUGUAUUUUUAGAUAAGGAUACUUAUGAAGAAACAAGAGAAGAAGAUGAGCAGCAAGGAGAAGCAAUAUAUACUUACCGAUUAGCUCGAAGGCGUUCGUAUUGAGGAUCGUAGUUCAUGAAAACAAAGUAUGAUUCGAUUUUGGUGUCUUGCAUUGUGGCUAAUUCUAACUUUCUGUGCUCUUUCUUCUUCUAGGGUUAUUGACUGAUGGGCAAUGUGGCCUCAUCUAGUUCUACAUGAUGCUUAUUUAUACUUGAAGUCAUCACAAGAGGCCUACAUUUUUGUUUACAUUAUCAAGUCUAACUUUUUAAGACAAUAUUAUUACAAGAUUUAAGUCUACACACUUAUAAUACGCUACGAAUAAUUUGACUAAAUUACGAUAAAAAAUUCAAAUUUCAUUAUAUUUUUUUGAAAAUAAAAUAUAAUAUAGAAUAAUACUAGACACACGAACUAUUUCAUUAAAUGUUGGGCAAAUAGUACAGUUGCAAACUCAAUUAUCUACUGGGGAAGAAAUUGGAAUCUAAAUAUCUAUUGGGUUGGGAGACAAUAAUGGGGAUGCUUCUAUGGCAACAUUAAAGGUAUUGCCAUCAUUCACACUCGGAAGUUUCUUGCCUAGUGUUUGAAAAAUACAAUUUUAAAUGUCGGCCACACGCUUGCAGUAUAAAAGUCAACACUUAUUAAACAACUUUUUCUUUUUUACAGAACAUUUACGUUAUUUCUACCUAUCUUCCCUAUUUUUUAAUCUGUUUUAUUUUUUCACCGACCAUAUAAAUUUAUAAAAAUACAAUUUUAUAUUUUCAUUCUCCUAAAAUAAUAUUUAAUUAUUAAUUCAAAUAAAUUCCUAUCUUUAUAAAGAGAUAGUAUUAAAUUAAUUCAAUCAAAGCUCCCCCACCCACCCAACCUGAUCAGCACCCUAACCCCGCCGGCGUCAACCACCCCUCUGCUAGCCGAAAACACCGUGUUUUCUCUCUCUUUCUUUUCCCACUCCCACAAGACAGACUAGAUAAAAAUUACGGCUACAAGUCCUCUUCAAAAGUCUAGAAUCUCUAGAAAUAUCAAAAAAGGAAAACCUGUCAAAACAAAUUGCGCUUAGAAUUUUGCCUCUGUAGGAAGGUAGGGUCUGCAUCAGUAUCAACAAACAAAUCAGAUUCUUUUUCUUCUCUUCCUUUUAUGGUUUUACCCAAGUUUGUGUGAGAAGAUGCAUCUUUUCUUCCUCUAGUAUCUGAAUCAGUGCCACCAAGUGGAACUUGUUUGGAUUGGCACAUAACAUAUAGAGAGAGAGAGAGAGAGAGAGAGAGAGAAAGAAAGAGACAGAGAGAUAGAGUGAGAUAGAUAGGAAAGGAGGAUUUGUCGAUGGCAAGGGGGGAGGGGGUCGCUGCCGGCGAGGUGGGAUGGCUAACAAGUCGGUGGGUGGGGGACUUUUGGUGGCUGUUGGGUUUUUGUUUUUGUUCUUAAAAUAAUUAGUUUUAGUUUUUUUAUAUACCAAAAGUUAAGGGAAAUAGCAGCACUCAUUCUCUAUUAGCAAGUAUUAAUUAUAGGCUAGCAAGAAGCAGGUGUGUGGGUGGUGCCUAUUAAUUCUUAAGCAAUUUGAUUAGAGGCAGUAAUUUUUUCCAUUAAGAUAAUUAAUAAUGGAUUCAAUAUUAGAAUAUGUCAUCUGGAUACCGACGGUGACAAAAAAGAGGAUCAUAGAGCCAUUAACCAACUGAUUAGUCAUUCUCUAAUUAAUCUUUUUAGCCAAUAUAGCAAUGACUCGGAAGUCAAAGAUGAAACUAAUAAUACUUUGAUUAUACAAUUAAUUAUCUUGUCAAACAAAACUUUUACUCCAUCAAACAGUGUGCCCUUUACUUUUGUGUGUAUAUGCACGUGUGCACGCAAUGUUUGUAUAUAUAAAUCACACUAAUACAUAAUUUUAUAUUUUAUAAAAUAAUUUAUAAAAAUAAUUUUUAAAUGAAUACUUAAAAAGUAGACAGUUCGAAUUAUUAAAAUACAAUAGAGUGAAACUGUGCAAGUGGCCCUCAAAAAAAUUGUAUGUGUAUAUAGUGCAUGAACCAAUGUAAAAGAUCACAUAAAUUGAAGAAGGAAAAAUAAAUUAAUUUGCUCUGCCUAGUCUUCAAGUUUGUACAAAAAUUAAAUGCCCUUUAAUUAUAACAUCUAGAAGAAACAUUGGGAAGCUUUAUCUACAUGAACAUGGAUAUGAAAAAACGACCCCAUACAUGGCUCUUAUUAUUGGCUGGAAACAAUAAUCGAGAAGAUAGAGUAAUAAUGCCAAAAAGCCCAUCAUGUGAAUGGGGGAAUUCAUAGGGUUUAUUUUUUACUUGAUUAAUCAAUCUGAAAUCAGUUUUCAAAGUCAUAGGAUCUACCAAAGUACCUUCGUAAUCAAAAUGAGAUGAUGUGUUGGAAUUGGUCAAGUCGUAAAGACUGCCAAGUGCAAUGUAUGUGGGUAGGGCUCUAGUUGAUUUAUCAGAAAUUAAGCGGAGAAUUUGAAUUUAUUGAGAUAUGGACUCGUUUAGUUGUGAUUCUAAAUAGACUAGAAUUAUUUAUAAGAAAAAGCACAUUCCACGUGCUUCUCCAUAUAAUCAUUUAGAAUCACUCACAAAUGAGUUCAUAAUUGAUGUUAGGGAUUUGUUUUGUUAUUUCGGGUGUUUAGCCCCUUGUUAGCCAUAGAAGGUGAUUUGUCUUCUGAUUUUAUAAAUAUAGAUUCACGAAAAAUGUUAAAAUGUUUAUAAUGGAGAGGCAUAGUAAAAUGCAAGUAGACAAAAAGACAUGUACGCACAUGACAGCAACUACGUAGUCCUGUCUAGCUCAUUCGCCAGAAUCGUACGUACGUGCAAACAAGUGCAAGUGGAAGGGGUCAACACCAAAUGUACGAACUCCACGUGUCAGUGAUUGAGCUUGUGAAAGGGUAGGGUGGACACUAGACACCCUUUUCAGAUUCUUCCACACAGAGAGAGAGAGAGAGAGAGAGAGGGAACUCUGACUACUUCUCUGUACUCUACUUGUGAGUUUGCUCUGUCAGUCACAUGGUAUGCUGAGUUAUCUUUUGAAUUUAAUGCAUAAAUCUACUUGUGGCCUACAGACUCAAGCAAAAUCUCAUAUAUAUAUUGUGACGAUGUGAACAAAUGUUCAUGUCCGAAAGUUAAGAGAUCUUACAUAGGCUUAAAGAGUUGGGUUAUUCUUUUAUUGUCAAUUGAUUUUGCGUGAAAUUUCAUCUUACCUAAUUUUAUAAUUACGAGAAAGGCUAACAUACCCUAACAUAGAUAAUGUUAUUUACAUAUCUUAGUGUUUUUAUAAAACUUCUCGAGAUUUCGAACUAACUUUUUCAGGUUUAAAAUUGUUUUAACCUUUGAUUUUUGACCAGGUGAGAAAUUGAAGACUGACACUCUUUCAAAGGCCAAUUUGAAGCAAGCUGACCACAUUCCUCACUUAGUCUUUUAAGAGAGAUGGGCUGGGUUGUUGGUUUUCCAUCUUCUCUAUAUGAAUUAUAUAUAUGAAUGGAAGAGAAGAGUAAAUAUUCAAAAGGAACUUUGACUGUGCCAUGUUACACAUAAAUUACCUUAUGUUUGACUGUUAUAGAGCUUGGUUUAGUGAAACUCAGUCUUGCAAUUUAGGUGAAAAUAAUUUUCUUUUCUUUGGUUAGUAAAGGUGAAAAGAUUAAGAGAUUAGGUCUCUCCCCUGCUCGUCUUCAACCGCAGAAGGCUACAAUUGGAGAGAUGAUCAAAACUCUUAAAUAAGUUCAUAUUUGAAGAACAUAGUAACAUCCCUGAAGACAAAAGAGAAGAAUAAAAGGGCUUAUUCUUUUCUGAAUUUUGGGUUUAGGGAUGUAUGUAUAUCGUAUCGAUCGAUCCCUUGUACACACAAGCUGACUGCAUAAAAUUUGACAUUAGUAUCAUUUAAAUCUAAAACUGCUUACAAUAUCUCCAAGAGAGAACAAUAUAUCUCUUUUAUAGAAGGCCUAGCCUCUGGUUUGGCACUUGUACAUGCAAGGGCAAUGUCCAAAACCCCAGACACUUGCCUCCUUUCUUUCCCUUCCUUCACAGCAAACUCAAAAAACUCCGAACCACAUUCUGAUAUCAGGCCUUCCUUCUCUUCCUUUGUGCCUUCUGUCAUUCUCAAACCCUUUGGUCCUGCCAAUACGUCCAGCAGUAUCACCCCAAAGUUGUGAAUGUCACUCUUCUGACUCAGUUCAGCACAGUAAGGAGUUGUUUGCUGCCAGCAUGGCGACUUCAUCAUUUGCCACAUGUUGGGAAUUUCGACCGGCUCCGCCAAUUGGGUGAAUCCAUAAUCGGACAAGCAGGCUGAGAAGUCGAUGUUCACCAUCACAUGGCAUACCCUAAUGCUCCCAUGCACGUUCAUCUGCAUCUUCUUGUCAUAUGAAGGGUAUUGCUCAUGGAUGAAUGCAAUUGCUCGUGCAAUAUGAACAACUAUGGUCAGCCUUUGGUUCCAAUCCAACGCUGUGUGACCAUGUUGCCUAGCACCUUUAUGGUGAAACCAAAAUAAUAAUUCAGUCAUAUAUGACUAGAAAAUAAAAGAUUUGAAUUAUAUGUCAAGGUGUCACAAAAAUGAAAAAUAUAAUUUUAGGUCGACAACAUCAGAGUUGAUCUUAAGGGAUUUAAAAGGUCUGUGAGAGUAUGCAAAAACGUCUUUGGAAUGGUUAAAAGCACUUCCAAACAAACCUUAAUCUAAGAUAUUGUCCAUGAUUGGUAAUACUGAACGAAAUAAUUCUCCACUCAUUUUUUUGGUAUUGAUCUUGUGUUGAUGUCCAAAAAGAUAUCGUUUGAAGCUUAUUGAUUCAACAAAACAACCUAAUUUUAUCGGUAAGUACAAGAUCAUCAAUAAAUCAACAGAGGAUCCAAAGUUACUACUACGUUAUGAUGAUUAAAAGUUCUAAUUAUUGUGUUCGAUAGAAAUAGACAAACCCAGUUUUUUUAAGGUUAUGAAAACACUUUCGAUCUUCAUGUGAAGCACUUGAAAAUAAAUAUGUAACACGUAUUUAGGAAUAAUUAAGAUAUGCUUUAAUUUAAACUUACCAGCAAGCAAGUCAGCAAGGCUUCCCAUGGGGUAGUAAUCAGAGAGAACAAACUUGAUCCUCUUAGCAUACAAAUAAGCAAUGACAGGCACAAGAUACUCACUCUUCUCACUCACCUUAGCCAAGUGCUCUAUUCUCUUCCCAAAGUCACGACUCCCACAGCUCACCUUCCUAAACCUCUUCACAGCACAAACCCUACCACCCAACAACACCACCUUCUCAGUCAUCCCCAGCCUGCUCUCCCCUAUCACACCCACCGAACCUCUCAGCACACCCCUCAGCGUCAAGUGGGACAGCCCUUCCCCACAUCCAAGACACUUCCUGUCGUGUCCACAGCGGACAAGUGGCAGGUCCUGCAUGAACCCUACGAUGCAGUCUUCGUAGUCGUUGAACGAGCUGGUGGUGUAGCCUUGUUGUGGGUCUUGAUCUUCAUUUUUGGGGCUCUUUCUGGGCUUUGCAGUUAAGGCUCUUGACAACAUAGUUUCAGAGAGGAAUUUUGAAGAGAGGAUUUGUAAUGUCAAAUGUGUUUUGGUGUUUUGGUGAGAAUUAUGGCGUGUGGUUGUUCUUCUUGUUGGUUGUGAUUUUGAUUCAUAGUGACGUUUCUUGGUUGUAUCAAUCCAGCUAGCUUGGUGCUUCCUUAUUGGGCCCUUGGGUUUCAGAAAAUCCAAAUGUGGAAUCUGAUAUUUUUCGAACUUUGGCCAGCCUACCAAACCAAACACAUGGUAUAUAUAAUUCAUAUUUCCAUGGUGUUAUUCAGACUAGGGUUCUGCAGAUCCAAUUCAAUCCUCUAAAAUCAACCUAUUCAAUUCAAUUUAAUUCAAUUUUUAUUGGUUUCGAAAACAUUGGUAUAUUGAAUUGGAUCAGAAAAAUAGAAAUUCAAUUAAAUCGGUUUGGAUAACAAAUCAAGAAUUAAAAAUCCAACCUAAACCGAACCGAUCCAAUAUACACAUUAAUAUACAUUCAUAUUGUAUAAUAUCUACACUUUCAUCUUAUUUCUCACUAAUAUAUUAAUCUUACUUACAACAAAAUUAAAACAUUAACAUAUUAAAUAUAUUAUUGUAGUAAUUUAUAUUAAAAACUAAUAUAUUAAUGUCAUAUCUUUGAUCAUAUUGAAAUUUGUGUUAUAUGUAAUGAAAGAUUAUGAAGUUUUUUUGUGAUGAUUAUUUUUUCAUACAAACCGAUUAUCCAAUCCAAUCCAAUCCAAUGUAUAUUGGUUUAGAUUGGAUUGGAUCCUAACAUCCGACCAUUUUGGAUUGGAUUGUAAAAUUUGUAAUCCAAUAAAAGAUUGGAUAUGAUUGAAUUGGUAAAAAAUCAUUGGUUUCAAACCGAUGCUCACUCCUAAUUAAGACCUCUUAUUUACAUGCUAAAUUUACUAAACACACCAUUUCCAACCUCAUAAUAUGUAUUUACCUCUUUUUAGAAGGAAAAACAAAAAAAAGGAUGUUACAUAACCUAUAUGGCAAUACUUUUAGAAGGCUAAGAAGCGUUUUUGAAAGCAUUGGUCAUAAUAAAUAAAAAGUGCUUAUAAGUUUUAAAAGCUGAGUGAUGCCAUCAUGACAUUUUCACAAUAUGUAUGAGAAAACUUUGUUCCCUCAAAUUCAAGUGAUUGUAAAAGACUCUUCCACGAUGCACCGUAAGAAUUUCCACAGCUAUAAAAGAAUCAUUUGUGAAUGAAUGCCAAUGGAGUUUUUAAAAAAAAUAAAAUUUAAAUAUAUUUAAAUAAAUACUUUUAAUCACUUGAAUUACGAACGUCUUGCAGAAAAAUUAGGAGUUAGGAAAAUGUUUAGAUUGCUUAAAAUAGGGUUUUUAACAAUGUAAGCCCAAGAAUGUCUUCACCAAAGGGCACAAGAUAAGACCACUCCAAAUGUUGUGGAGUUGGGUUGAGAAAAGGCUUGCCCAAAACUUAGAGCAUGAGAUUCAAAUGGCCCACAUGCAGUAUUUGGUUCAAGCUGGCAUUGAUUAAGAUUUGGCAUAAACAAAACUAAUGAUAAGAACAGAAGAUUCAAACUUUCACAUAAGAUCUCCAAAAAAAUAAUAUAUUUUUGGGACAUUAUUGCUGUUGGAGUAAAAAAUACUACAACUGCGCCACGUAGCAAUCGCAACAUAAAAUAGCGGUGGUGAGCAUGUGUCUUCUGUUCCAAAGUCGCCCUCCUAGAGUCUUGGUCAGCCUCACUCGUUUUCUCCCCCUUCUAACACGUCCUGAGUGACGUCAUUUCCGACCCCUUCUCACACCCGGCAGGCACCCAGUUUUACUAAAAUACACCCUUCUCCAAUGUUAUUUGACCCUUUUUGAUUUACUAUUUGAGAGAAGCCUCUUUGUCAAUAUUUUUUUGCAAAAUUUCAAUUGCGUCUCUAAUACGAGGAAAUUUUAAGAAAAAAAGUCUUAGUUGUCGCCUCUUUUUGGGGGUUGGUUAUUUCUUUUUUUACCUCAUCCUCUCUCAUUGUAUACUUUCUUUUCUCAUUCUCUUAAUUUUCCUUCAAGAUUAUUAGUUUAUUUUGUGAAACGAUGUCGUUGUCAUGAUAUAGUCAUUGUAUUUUAGCCCACGUACACAAAGAGUUGGCUCCAUUCAACAUAAUUUGGAGCUCUAAAGAGGGGAAUAUGUCUGUUUGUGCUAAGUUCGGGUUUAACCAGUGCGUGACAAUGGAUUUAGCCGGUAUGGCACUAUGAUUUUCUUUGAGUUGCCUGGAAGAUAUGGAGCGGUGGUCCUGUUUUUUAGUUUUGUUUUAGACCAAUAAUUUUAGAAACUCUUUAGGAGUUUGUUGUGAUUUGUUUUCUAUUUAGGAUUUUUUAUUUAUUUUUAGCUUUUGACUUUCGAUACUGAUUUUUCGUUUCUGCCGUUGAGCGGCAGAUUUGUAUUGUAGGUCUUGAUAAAUGUGCUUUUGGUUGCUGGAUCGGGAAUUUAAUCAUUGUUCGAAUUGUGCGUGAUUCUUUCUAGAUUAAUUCAACAUAUUGUGUUUGGUCACUAUAAAAGAUUUACCUAUAUUUAGCACAUAGUUUUGCUCUGUACUUUUGUGCAUGCUUUUAAGUUUGACAAAUAGGAUGCUAGUCGACCCAAAGAUUUCGUAUUGUAAAUAAGUUUUGUUUAUUACAAAAAAUUCUUUAGCAAACUCAUUUAUUAGCGAGACCUGAAUUUUGCUCAUCUAAUGACUUUUAGCUCUUCAAUUAAAUUUUCUACAUUAAAACAAGAAACAAUACAAUCAAUCCAAAAGUCAGAUGACUUUUAGCUCUUCCAUAUUUAUGUCACCUCAUCACUAUGAGAGAGUAUAGUAAAACGAUGAAGAGUCUCUGGAGAUGCUCCUCCUAGUAAGCUUGGGUGAAUGGCAAAUAUGUAAAUUCGACAAGAGAACGAGCCCUUAUUUGGAAAUUGGAUCCAUGUGAUCGUGCCCGCAUUUUCCAAGUCAACUCAGUCGAAUCUCAUAUCGCUCCAACUAACGGCUCUCCUGUGAACCCAAACUAACCGGAAACCCCCUCCCUCCAAUCACGUGGCCGGUCACCCCAUUGCCCGCUGCCCGCCUUUUCCUCCUCCCUCACUCAAAUAGUCACAAAUUUCAAACCCGAACUGCCCGAUCUGCCCGAAACACACCCCUUAUAAGUUAUAUAUAUCACCACCAACCGCUCAUCUUCUCCAAUUCACAAAAUGGCCAAACUCGUCUUCUUCCUCGUCGCUCUCCUCUUCCUCUUCUCCUUCUCCUUCUCCCACGCCCUCACGCCGUCCGAUCUACCCGAGAAGGAAACCAACGGCCGCGAUCCAGCCAACACCAAGUUUCCCGAAUCCGAAUCCAAGCCCGCGACCGCCAUACUCUUACCCAGCGAGAAACGUGACUCCGAACCCGCCAAGGUCUUCGAAUGGAUACCGGAGGCCGCCGAUACGAAGCUUCCGGAUUCUGAUGGCCCCACCAUCUUGGCCAACGAAGAGUCGACUGAGUUCACACACAGCGAGUCCGUUCCGUUGACCGUCAUCAGCUUCCGCCCCGUCAACCGCCACUUCCCCAGGCGCCCCUUCCCGUUAUCGUUCCGUCACGGACACCGUUGCCGCCAUGGCCGCCGCCAGGUCGGGCCGUGGAGCCCACGCUUCCACGGAGGAGAACGCGACCGCGACGUCGUUUCGUACGGCGACGACAUGAUCCUCGGCGACGACUUGGCUUUCGAUCAGGUGUUUCACGGCGGACCGCGCCAGAUCCCUCCUAGGUGGGGCAGUUUCCGCCACGGUGGGCCCAGGUUCCCGUUCAGGCACGACGACAACAUGGAAUUGGAGAGGCCGCAUCACCAUCAUCACCAUCGCCACGACCACGACCACGACAGCAAAGAAUUUGAAGGAAUGGAGAAGCCGAGAGAGCACAGGCAUGAACACGAACGAGAGCAGGAGGGUGGUUUGAUGAGAAGGUUCCGCAAGUUCUUGAACCGCUUUUGAGUUUUGAAGCGACUAUCUUAAUCUUAUCUGUUUUUAGUUUUACUUGUACCAGCUUAUCUUAUGUUACUCUGUUUCUGUAAAUAACCAUG
rnacentral:lncRNA from 1 species